AACUAUGUAGGUGAAUUCCCAAUUAUACCCACCUGAAUCCGCCCUCAAUCUGACCAAUCCGAGGACAAACGUAAUAAUCAUUCCAAUUCAGAUCAAGCAAACCCAUGAAAACUGCUGGCCACAGCCUCUGGUUUUUUCCCAAACUUUGGGCACCCGAUCCAAACCUAUCUCUUUCUAUAAAACCAACCCACCUUCACCUCAUCUUCUUCAUCACAACACAAAACACUGGAUUUACAGAGAGAUCUUCAAUAUCCAUUCACUACCCAGAAUCAGGUCUUUUUAUUGUUGAUUGUUGAUUGAGUUUUGGAGAAAGAAAAUUAAGGAGAUGAGUCAUAUGGGGAAAGCCUGGAUAGUGGCAACAAGCAUGGGAGCAGUUGAGGCAUUGAAGGAUCAGGGCUUCUGCAGAUGGAAUUACACUAUGAGGUCACUUCACCAGCAUGCCAAGAACAACCUCAGGUCCUUUUCUCAAGCCAAGAAGCUCUCUUCUUCCUCUUCUGCCAUGGCUUCUAGCAGAGUGAGAGAAGACAAGGCAAAGAAAUCAGAGGAGUCCUUGAGGGCUGUCAUGUACUUGAGCUGUUGGGGACCCAACUGAGACCCACCAAAAAUUAGUAGAGAGUUGUAAACAUGUAUGAUGAUUUUUUUAUGUAUUUUUUUGAAAAAAAAUCAGAUUAGGUAUCAGAAAUUCAGAAUGAUUGUUUUUUGCACUUUGUUUUUACAUGCCAUGGGAUUUGGAGUUGGUUAGUUUUGACUGAGCAUGAAAGGCAGGCCAGGGUUUUAAAGAAUUGAAUCAUUCACUGGAGAUGGAAUCUCUCUCAGAGAAAUCCUUAUUCUCUACAACCUUGGCAAAUGGCAAGCCACUAAGAGGGAAAACACAAAAAAUAAAAAUAAAAUAAAAUAAUAAUAAUUGUAGAGGAGAUAUUUGCCAAUAUAUAAAACUUAUAUUUUUGUAUUAUUAUUGAAUAAAUUAGAUUUUAUCAUACACUUAAAUAAUGGAGAUACAAAUUCAAUAUAAUACUUUUUUUUUGGUUAAUUUUAAAAGGUUUCUAAGGAAAUUAAGUCUUAAUCAAACAACUUUUAUUGAUCUUUUACAAUAUGAAUUUAUCUCUUUAAAAUAAUUUUAAUUUAGCAUUUAAAAUUUUCCGUUGAACUUUUUCACCAAAUGAGAAGUAAAAACGUAACAGAGGAAUGCAGGACUUUAAAGUGAAGUUGUCUUUUUUUGAACAAGCUAACUUUAAGUCUCGUUUUUUAAGAGAACUUUUCAUAGAAUUUGAAUUAUUUAUUUAACGAUAAAUUUUCAUGAUUUUUUUUUUAAAUUUACACCAUUUUGAAAGGGAAACUUGUAUUUUGAUGGAGCAAUUUGGAAAAUAUAUGAUUUUUGGAAUCCAACUUCACGAAAUCUGAAAACUAACUUUUAAUGUGAAAAAUUAUAUAUUUUUCAUGCACUCUAAGUCGGUUGCAUAUUUUUGUGCUAAGAUUAUUUUUAGGUUUAGUGAUUUUCCAAAAUUAUCCUUUUUGUUUUUUUUUUUUUUCUCUUGUACCCAUCAUCUGCCUCUCCCUCCCUCCCCAGUGAAAUUGGUUGGUAUUUUGCCGACGUCAUCACCAACCGCCACCCACACUUCUCUCCCGUUGGCAAUCUCCUCCUUUCUCCAUUUCCUUCCCUCUUUCUCUCUCUCUUUCAUUCCCUUUCGACAUCACCAAGAGAGAAGAAGGCGGUGGCAAUGGUGGAGAACCGGGGUUGGAGGGAAGAAGGUGCGACUGGUUGCCAUUGACGGUGGCAACCAGUAACUCUCGCAGUCAUUGACAACGGUGGUGGUGGAAGCACCUAAGUGGGGAGAGACGUCAAGGAGAGGUGGGAGGGAGGCGGACGAGGGGACCACGUCUUUCCCUACGCUGGUGCUUUCGCCGUCGCCACUGUCAAUAAUCGUGAGAGUUGUUGGUUGCUGUUUGUCGCGCCUUCUUCCCUCUAGCCCUGGUUCUCCACCAUUGCCACUGCCCUCUUCUCUCUUGAUGAUGUCGAAAGGAAAUGAAAGAGAUAAAGAAAGAGGGAAGGGAAUCGGAGAGGGGGAAAUUAAUGAUCGGAGAAAUGUGUGAGUGACGGCCGAUUUCACAAGGGAGGGAGGAAGAGGCGGAUGGUGGUGGGUAUAGGAGGAAAAUAAACAAAAAGGAUCACUUUGGAAAAUCACUAAAUCCAAAGGUAAUCUCGACACAAAAUAUGUAGCCGGUUCAGAGUGCAUGAAAAAUAUAUAAUUUUCCAUAUUGAAAAUUGAAUUUUAGAUUUCAUAAAGUUGGAUUCUAAAAACCAUAUAUUUCUUAAAUUUCCUCAUCAAAACAUAAGUCUGCAUUUUGAAAAGGAAAAACCCAAUGAAAUAUGUUCGUACUUCGUAUAGACCGUGGAGUGGGGUGUGAAAAAAACAAAGAAAUAGACACGUGCUUGAAAUCCGGCCGUGCACAUUACCCCAUUGGAAAACAGCGGUUUCAUCCUCCUUACUCUUUGAGCGUUGAGUGGAUUCACAAACAAAACAAUGGGCACGUACUGCGGACUGCCCCACACCAACACUGAGGGCCAACUAUGUAGGUGAAUACCCAAUUAUACCUACAUGAAUCAGCCGUCAAUCUUACAAAUCCAAGGGCAAAGUAGUCAUUCCAAUUCAAACCAAACCAAGCCAUGAUUCAUGAAAACUGCUGGCCACAGCUCCCGGUUUUUCCCUAACUUUGGGCACCAAAUCCAACCCAUCUCUUGCUAUAUAACCAACCCACCUUCACUUCAUCUUCUUCAUCACAACACAACUACCUUGAUUUACAGAGAGAUCUUCUAUAUCCAUUCACUACUCAGAAUCACCUCUUUCUAUUGUUGAUUGUUGUUUGGGUUUCGGAGAAAGAAAAUUAAGAUGAGUCAUAUGGGGAAAGCUUGGUUAGUGGCAGCAAGUGUGGGAGCAGUGGAGGCACUCAAGGAUCAGGGCUUCUGCAGAUGGAACUACACUCUGAGGUCUAUUCACCAGCAUGCCAAGACCAACCUCAGGUCCUUUGCUCAGGCCAAGAAGCUCUCUUCUUCCUCUUCUGCCAUGGUUUCCAGCAGAGUGAGGGAGGAGAAGGCCAAGCAGUCAGAGGAGUCUCUGAGGACUGUCAUGUACUUGAGCUGCUGGGGACCCAACUGAAGAAGAAGAUAUGAAGAUGGAUGAUCAUCAGCCUGCACUUGAAGCAUCCAGAGAGGGCAUAUUCCAAGAAAGUUAUGGAAAAUUAAGAUGAAGAAACUGCAGUGAAGCAAUUUCAUGGAAUUUUUGCUUGGAGACUCCCGAAUUACAACCAAUUGCUCAGGGUUGGGAAAAUUGGAAUUGCUGUAAAUUGUGACUGGUUCUUUGUAAAACCCAAAUCAUUUAGCUAGAAAUUGAAAAUACAUUUUAAUUUAAUUUAUAGUUUCUCUGUUAGAAUAUUAGACCCAAUUCCUAAAAAGCUUGUCAGUCUUGUAUUAGACCCAAGCUCAAGCGCAUUAAGAAAAAAUAUGGCAGAUUUGGUCACAUAGGGGAUGAAGAGGUGAUAAAGUAGAUACAACGCCCAAAAUUAAACUCUCAAUCAAUUUAAUUGAACAAAUAAUCAUAAAAGAGAUUUUUUAAAUUUAUGAUUUUUGAAAAAGAAAAUUCCAGUGAAAUAUGUUCAUGUAGACUGUGUGGUAGGAUGAAGACUAAACAAAGAAAUGGACACGUGGUUGAAGUCCGGCCCUACACAUUGCCCCAUUGGAAAACAGUGGUUUCAUCCUCCGUACUCUUUGGGCGUUAAGUGGGUUCACAAACCAAACAAUGGGCUGCCUUAACGUGGUGUUUAUUUUUUUACUUAAUUCUAAAUAGAAUCUUAAUAUUUAAUCGUAUUAAAUAUUAGAUUAUUUAUUUUUUAGUAUUUUAUUUUUAUUAAGUAUUAAAAAGUAAAAAAAAUCAUUGUGUUAUUUUUUCUAUUUAGAAAAAAUUAUAUAUUUUGAUUUUUUCUAUUUAGUAAAAAGUUUAUAAUAAGUCAUUAAAAAGUAAAAAAACAAACCAUCUAAAUUCUAAAACUAAAUGAUUUUUAGCAAAAAGCCAAAAAAACAAACACCACUUUAGACUGAGGACAAACUAUGUAGGUGAAUAUCCCAUUAUACCUACAUGAAUCAGUGGUCAAUCUUACAAAUCUAAGGACAGAGUAGUAAUUCCAAUUCAAACCAAACAAAGCUAUGAGAACUGCUGGCCACAGCCUCUGGUUUCCCCAAAACUUUGGGCAGUAUUCCUCAAAGAAUCAAGUGGGCUAGAUUUAACAACUUCGUCCACCAUGGUUAGAUUAUUGGGGGCUAGAGUAAAUAACUUCAUCCACCAUGGUUAGAUUAUUGGUAUCUCGAUGGGAGAAGUUGUUUUGAUGGAAAAACAUUGUAUUUUAUUAUUUUGUAAAUUUUAUCAUCACUCAUAUAUAUUAUUUUUUAUUUAAAAUUAAAUAAAAAAUUAAAAUUCUUAGAAAAUACGAAAAGAAAGUAUAUCACAAUCUUUAUUUUCUAUUCUAAAAUUAAAAAAUAAAAAUAAAAUUAUGAAGAAAAAAGUACAUUCCAACUUACAUUAAUUAAGGGAUGAUAUACUCUGCAAAUAAAAAAUAUAAAAAAUAAUUAAAGGUUAAAUAAAUCACUUAAUAAAUCGGUAGUAGGGGUUGAUGGUUUCAUUAUUAGACUAUAACAAGGAUUUUCAUUUUCAUUUUCUUUUUAAAUGCAUUUCAUGGUGGUGUAGAAUUUUUUUGUAUAAGGGUUUUUAAAUUGUAAUAUAGAUUAUAUAUAUAGUUGUGUUUUGUCCUAAAUUCUGACUUCCAAGUUUUCAACAUUAUAUAAAAAUCCCUAAAAUCACCUACUUCGUACGUUUUCUAACAUUAUAUAAAAAGCCCUGAAUUCACCUAUUAGAAAAAUGUUAUUUGGUGCGCUAUCAUUACCAUGACCUCAACCUCGUGCAAAGAUAUCGAGUGGUUACUAAUAGUAAAAAAUAAAUAAUAAAAACAAAAUAUAUUCAUUAUUAUUAUUAUUAUUAUUUUGUACUUUUACCAUCCAUUAUUCACAUCUUAGCAUAUGAUAGAAAAGAUGAUAAAAGAUUAUUUAUGUUGUAUGAUUUUAAGUGAAAUGAUCAAAAUAUUUAAAGAAAAAAUUAAUAAUUCAUGAAGAAUUUUUGGUAAAUUUAUAAAUUUGUAAUAAAUAUUGAUAAAUGAUAAACAAAGUAGUUUUUAAAGUGGUUGCAGUAGUUAAACAUUGUAUCUUAUUAUGAUUUUCCACCUUCAAAACUUAAUAAUAAAAUUUCAUAACAAAUUUUUAUCUAUUUGAAACUUUUGAAAUGUGGAAUCUUUUCUUGGACAUUUUUAUAUAUACAUUUGUGAAUUUUAUCUUUAUUUUUUAUUUAUAAAAUUAAAGGAUAAAAUUAAAAUGUUAAAAAUAAAAGAGAAGUAUAUCCCAACUUGCAUCAAUUAAGAGAAGAUAUAUAAAGCACAUGAAGAAUGCAAAAAAAAUUAAUGAUAAAAUAAAUCACUUAUUAGAUAGUAUUUAAUGAUUUACAUUAUUAGAUUGUAGAAAUGAGUUAUAUUUUUAUUUUUGUGUAUAGGGGAUUUUAAAUUAUAAUAUAUAUUUUUAUUUUUGAGUUAGUUUUCUUUGUUGAUACAUAGUUUUUUUUUUGUCUUGGAUAUUGUGUUAUCAGCAGUUUUAAAAGAAAUAAAAAUUAUUUAUCCCACAUCGAUUCAAAACUAAAAAUAUUAUAUAUAUUUAUUAAAACUUUGAUACCCUUAAAAAAUACAAGUACAACCAAUAAGCAAGCAUAGGGAUGACAACGGGGCGGGUAUGGGACAUGCCACCCCUACCCCAUUUCCAUCCCGGUUAUAUAUUUUUUUGCCCAUCCCUGUCCCAAACUCGGGGCGGGGCGAGUUGGUGUCCCCCUUACCUGUUUACAAAAGAGCUGAUAAUCUCAUCCCCAUCCCAAAUGUAUUUUCGGGAAUUAUGCUUUUACAAAACAUGGGUCUCUGAAAUUUCAAUAAACGUUAUAUGGGUUAUCAUAAACACAUUUAAUCAAGCAUUUGUUGUGCAACAAAACUACAAACUGCACAUAUGAGAACAAAAUGCACAGAUCUACAAAUAAACAACCCAAAAAAUCUCAAAUCCAUAAACCAAAACCAGAAAAAUAUGAAAAACAAGACAUUCUAACAAAGCCUCAAAACUUAGGGUUUUCUUACCUGGAAAUGAGGAAUCCAUAGAAACCCUAAUAAUUUGUUGUCUACGAAUUUGGUUUUUGGUUUUUAGAGCAAAAAUUGUGCUUUUAGGGUGAAAUGGGAAGAAGCAAUUUAGGAAUAAAUGAGAAAACGGGAAGAAAUGAGAAAACGAAAGGCCUUUUACGAGCAAAAGAACCCUGAGCAAUUUAGGAAGAAAUGAGAAAACGGGAAGAAAUGAGAGCGAAAGCCCUCUAACUCUCUCAUGAGCAAAAUAACCCUAAAACUUGAGGAAGAAAUGAUUAUAUGUGUAGGACUUUUUGGGUAUUUUGUAAUGACAUAAGGGUAAAUUGGUAAUUCACAUACGGGGCGGGGCAGAAACUGCAAAACCCAUCCCUGCCUUAAACCCAAUUCGGGUUUUUAUAUAUUCCCCAAACCCUUUUUAUACCCGAAUAGGAUAUUCUCAUACCCGUCCCAAUAGGGACGGGGCGGGUGACCCGAAUUACCCGGAAAAUUGUCAUUCCUAAGCAAGCAUUGAGCUAAAUCCUAAUCUCACAUUCCUACUUGAAACUUUACACUCACAUAAAAACAACUCACCACUUGACUCGAGGGACUAUUCCGUAACUUCUCACUACCAACAACCAGGCACUAUUCAACCUCUCGCUCACUUAUAAAUUCACUCCCUACCUGCAUAUUCAAAACGUAUCUCACUACUAUUCUACUCUACUAUUCUACUUUUCGUGGUUUCAUAUCUCACUAUUAUUCCACUUUUCGCGGUUUCAUAUCUCACUACUAUUCGCGUGUUCAAAGUGUAUCCCUCCCUGAAUUAAUUGUGAAUUAAUUUAGGCUUCAAAGUGUGUUGCUCUACAAUAUCCCUCCCAGUCAGGCCUCAAAGUAAGAACAACAACAUCUACAAUAUCUGCCAUGGCCACACAACCAAGGCAUGCGGUAUGCCGCAUUUUCUCAUGUCCUUUUCCCAUUUUGUUCCCUCUUUUCAUCUCCAUUUUGUUUUCAAUAUCCCCUUACCUUACUCAUAUUCUCUAAAAUUAGAUAAAAUUAUUAAUUUGAUCAUAUUUAUCUAACAUUUUUAAUUAAUACUACUAGUAUCUUAUUUUCAUAAAUCUAAUUGAAUUUCCUACUUAUUUAUUUAUUGUUUUCAUGACAAAACUUCAUCAACUUUCAUAUCUUUCCUUACAAUUCUGAGUUCAACUGUCCUUGCGAAAUACCAAUAUGAGAAUGUUUCCCCAUUUGCCCAACACAACAUAGGUAUGCAAAUCUCCUUAUUUGCAUCAUUUAUAUAUUUCAUGAUGGUUGUGGUUUAUGAAAUCCUUGAUUCUAAUGGAACUAUCAAAAUUGAAGAAGAUGGAAGAUAUCUCCUUAUUUUGAGUCAUGUUCGGUUCUUAAGUGGAACAGCAGCUGCAACUUUGUUGAUCCUGAUCUUGAUCCCAUAUUUUGGAUGGUUCUUUCUGAUCAUGUGGACCAUGUUCUUAGUGAAAAUAACAUGCUAUUGGGAUAAAACAUUUUAUAACUUUGACAUGUUCAAGAAUAAAAAAAAAUGCCAAUGAUAGGGAAGGAGGACAAGAGGAGCAACGACUCCAAGUUUAGAGUAGGUUUGGUCCAUCAGAGGUUAUUAGCAAAAAACAUAUUUUCUUCUUGUACUUUCGAAAGUGUUAAAUAAGUGUUAUAUUUUGAGUAAUGAGAGUAUUUUUUUCCUUUUUUCUUUUUUUCUAAUACAUUAUUGGUGAUUAUUCUUCGUCGGAAUACCCACAAGGCUAUUAGAUGUUUCAUUGCAAAAUAUGGUUUUAUAUGAUAGCAUUACGAUUGAACUAAUAAAACAUAUUUUUUGCAUAUUGUUUAGUUGGACCCCCCGACUACCUCUCGGUAAUAUCCUCUUAACAUAGGAAGUAUAAACUAAUAGCAAGUGCUAAUCUUUCCCAUUCUUACACAAGAAAGACCCAAGGAGAAGGUAUAUUUAGAAAUUGCAUAUCUAUGUUCCCAAACAAUAGAAAAUUCAAUAUAUGGCACUUCACUCUCUACUUUUCUUUCCCACAUUUUCUCAUAACCCAAAUAUGCUCACCUCUCAUUCUAAGAUCCAACCAUUGAAAAACAAUUACAAAAAUCCUAAUAAAAGAGAUAGAUCAUACUACAAUUACACUUUCUUACAAGAAAUUGAAGUGUAGAAGGUAUAACAAUUGAGUGAAACAAAUAAAAACCAACCUCCUUUAACACACAUGCUAAUGAAAUACUUGCAGAGACACUUUAAAUUUCUCCAGACUCCAAGAGAUAUUGAACAACAGCCUCGACACCUGCAGCGACGAGACCAUCACCUGAUACGAUAUAAUGCACAAACUCGGCACGGAAUCAAUAAGACUUGGUUGGAUUACAAAUUUUUUUUCAAACAUUCUCUUUUUCUUUCCAAUCACAAUAAAACAUCAGAAUAUUUUCAAAAAUAAAAAUCAGAAAUUCACCUUUCAAAAGCAAACACCCAUGAUUCUGAAAUUGGAGCUUUUAACCUAAAAGAUCAAAGAAGAUGAAGAAGAAAAAACCCAACCCCUGACUCGUUCGGAAAUAAGAGGAGAAACCACCGAAGGAUGAGGGCAUGAUUUAGGAUUUACUUACUUGAUUUUCCUAAAAAUCGAGAAUCAUCGGAGGGUGGAGGUUUGGUGUCAACGGUGGUAACUCGUCAAGUGGAUUGAAUCUUACAACAGCGACGUCGGCCAGGCAACCCUCUCACAGUCAGAUUGCUCUCCCUUCGGGGUCUUGCAUAGUUGCAAAUUUGCAAUUGUAGGUGGUGUCAUCUGUCGACGGUCUUGACAACAAUGGUGUUGUGCGAGUAUGGAAGAUUGGGAGCCUAAAUUGGUAAAGUAAAAAAUGCAUUUUAUAUGGAUUUACAUUGAUGAUAUGAGAUAGGAUUUGAUGGUAACAUAUUAAAUUAAAUUAAAUGAUUGAGUCCAAAAUGAUAUGGAUGGUAUGAGAUAGGAUUUAAUGAAAAAUUAAAUGUAUUUAUAUGGCAGAUUGAGAAUUAAAUCCACAAUUCUUAGUAGUAUUAUAAAUGGCUUUGAGUUAAAUGUGAAAAAGUUUUAUUAAUUUUUUAAGCUUAUUAAAUUUAUAUCUAUUUUUUAUAUAUAAUUUACAUAAUAUUUUUAUAAUUUUUUGAAAUUUCUAAUUAUCUUAUUUUGCGUGUUGCUUGAUAUUGAAUCAAGAUGUUGAGACCAACAUAUCUCGGGAACAUCUGAGUUAAUGAUCGAUAUCGCGACUUUGAACCAUGCUCGUCUCCAAUCCCUUAACAAUGAUGAAAAAUGAGGGCAACACAAUUACCCUUUUUAUUAUUAUCUGUUCAAAAUAAUACAUGCAUUAUAAUAUAAUUUUUUAAAAAUAUUUUACAAAAAAAUAUAUGUGGACCCCGUAUUUAGGCUCAUGCGUUUCCACUCGAUGGCGAGCUUGAUUUUAUUUUGAAAAUAAUUUUAUUUAUUAGAAAAUGACUUGGAGUCGCCACUUAUUUUUGUUUUAUUUUUAAAGGGUAAACAAAAUAAGAAAGAAAACCCUAAGUGUGACUCCUUAUUUUGGAAAAGGUGGUCUGUAAAAAAUUGGAUCGAGUUUGGGGGUCAGGUUACUUAUCGGGAAGGUACGGUAAAGACCGUAGCACCCCUUUAAGUCCCCAAAGUCGGGUCUCUACUAAUAAAAUGAAGUUGACGCAACAAUCAAUAAUAAAAACAAUGAAUACCGACAUGAUCACAUAUUGAAAGCCAAAACAUAUAAGGAUGAUGGUUAGAGUGAGAAAAAAUGCGUACCUGAUCAGCAAGCGGCAACGCGCUAUCAUAAAAUGAGGUUAGUGCACAAAUAAUGGACAUAAAACAUAGCUCACAAGCCACUGAAUCGAGUACAAAAUCAUCAGAUAUCACAAUUAAGUCAAAUUUAUUUUUCGGGGAAACAAUCACUGAUGUUGGGCCUUCACCAAAACCCAAUUUAUUCCUGUAUGAAUUAAUUUCGUAAAUUCCAUCACUUGGAAUUACAGAAUUUAAUUCACACUUAUUUUUAAAAUGUUUUAGAAAUCAUGGAAGUUAUGGAAAUCCAUGCCGAAGAAAAUGGCAACAAAAUUUUAUUAAAAAUGUGAUUUUUGGGACUUGAAAGCUCUAAGGAUGAAGAAUCUGGAAAAUAAUGCGAAAAAAAUGAGAUUUGGAAAAAAAUAUUUUUUUAAACCAAGAAUGGUGAAAAUGAGAAAAAAAAAAAAAAAGGAAGUGACACGUGGCAUAAGGGUGGCCAUGCAAAGGUGGCCAUGCACCAUUCCAAACAAAUCUAACCCCACUUGCUUUUAUUUGAUCCUGAUCUUAAUCCCAUAUUUUGGAUGGUUCCUUCUGGUCAUGUGGACCAUGUUCUUAGUUAAAAUAACAUGCUAUUGGGAUAAAACAUUUUAUAACUUUGACAUGUUCAAGAAUAAAAAAAAUGUCAAUGAUAAGGAAGGAGGACAAGAGGUGCAGCGACCCCAAGUUUAGAAUAGGUUUGGUCCAUAAGAAGUUAUUAACAAAAAAACAUAUUUUCUUCUUGUACUUUUGAAAGUGUUAUAUUUUGAGUAAUGAGAGUAUUUUUUUUUUCCUUUUUUCUUUUUCUUUAAUACAUUAUUGGUGAUUAUUCUUCGCUGGAAUACCCACAUGGCUAUUAGAUGUUUCAUUGCAAAUAUGGUUUUAUAUGAUAGAAUUAUGAUUGAACUUAUAAAACAUAUUUUCUGCAUAUUGUUUAGCUGGGCCUCCCAACUACCUCUCGGUAAUAUCCUCUUAACAUAGGAAGUAUAAACUAAUAGCAAGUGCUAAUAUUUCCCAUUCUUACACAAGAAAGACCCAAGGAAAAGGUAUAUUUAGAAAUUUCAUUUCUAUGUUCCCAAACAAUAGAAAAUUCAAUAUAUGGCACUUCACUCUCUACUUUUCUUUCCCACAUUUUCUCAUAACCCAAAUAUGCUCACCUCUCAUUCCAAGAUCCAACCAAAAUUGAAAAACAAUUACAAAAAUCCUAAUAAAAGAGACAGAUUAUACUACAAUUACACUUUCUUACAAGAAAUUGAAGUGCAUAAGGUAUAACAAUUGAGUGGAACAAAUAAAAACCAGCCUCCUUUAACACAUUUGCUAAUGAAAUACUUGCAGAGACACUUUAAAUUCCUCCAGACUCCAAAAGAUACUGAUCAACAGCCUCGGCACCUGCAGCGACGAGACCAACACCUGAUACGAUAUAAUGCACAAACUCGGCAUGAAAUCAGUAAGACUCAGUUAGAUUACAGAAAAAUUUUCAAACAUUCUUUUUUUCUUUCCAAUCAUAAUAAAACAUCAGAGUAUUUUCAAAAAUAAAAAUCAAAGAUUCCCCUUUCAAAAGCAAACACCUAUGAUUCUGAAAUUGGAGCUUUUAACCCAGAAGAUAAAAAAAGACGAAAAAGAAAAAACCCAACCCCUGACCCGUUCGGAAAUAAGAGGAGAAACCACCGAAUGAUGAGGGCAUGAUUUAGGAUUUACUUACCUGAUUUUCCUAAAAAUCGAGAAUCAUCGGAGGGUGGAGGUUUGGUGUCGGUGGUGGUAACUCGUCAAGUGGACUGAAUCUUACAACGGCGACGUCGGCCAGGCAACCCCUCAUAGUCAGAUUGCUCCCCAUCCGAGGUCUUUCAUAGUUGCAAAUUUGCAAUUGCAGGUGGUGUCAUCUAUCGAUAGUCUUGACAGCAACGGUGGUGUGCAAGGUGUGCGAGAUUGGGAGCCCAAAUUGGUAAAGUAAAAAAUGCAUUUUAUAUGGAUUUACAUUGAUGAUAUGAGAUAGGAUUUGAUGGUAACUUAUUAAAUUAAAUUAAAUGACUGAGUCCAAAAUGAUAUGGAUGGUAUGAGAUGGGAUUUAAUGAAAAAUUAAAUGUAUUUAUGUGGCAGAUUGAGAAUUAAAUCCCCAAUUCUUAGUAUUAUUAUAAAUAGCUUUGAGUUAAAUGUGAAAUUUUUUUGUUUUAUUAAGUUUUUAAGCUUAUUUAAUUUCUAUCUAUUUUUUAUAUAUAAUUUACAUAACAUUUUUAUAAUUUUAUGAAAUUUCUAAUUAUCUUAUUUUGCGUAUUGCUUGAUACUGAAUCAAGAUGUCGAGACUAACAUAUCUCGAGAUCAUCUGAGUCAAUGAUCGAUAUCGCGACUUUGAACCAUACUUGUCUCCAAUCCCUCAACAGUGAUGAAAAAUGAGGCCAACACAGUUGCCUUUUUUAUUAUUAUCAGUUAAAAAUAAUGAAUCUAUAUCCAUGUAUUAUCAAGAAUAAAUAAGUUUAUAUUUAUAAAUUUUUAUUAUAAAUUUAUAUUUACACAUAUCCUUGAUUUUCCUCAAGGUCUUAUUUUUAAUUGAUUACAAAGCAUUAGUACUUAUUUAAUUUAAAAUGUAUUAAAUAAAUAUUAAUAUUACAUAAAUAAAUAAAAGUUGAAUUUGAAUAAAAAUUAUAUAUAUAUAUAUAUAUAUCAUAUUCUACAUGAAUAUGAAUCUAUUAUUAAAGAUACAUGGUAAUAAGUGUUAAUAUUAUAUAAUCAAAUGAGAGUACAAAAAUUUUCUAUUAUUAACAAUACAUUAUUAUAAUAAUGAAAUACUUAAUAUCAUGUAAAUAAAUAAAAGUCAUCAUAAAUUUAAAUUUGAAUUUAUAUUUUUAAACCCAUCAAAUUUAUUUUUAUUUAUUUUUAAUUUUAAGAAUUUUUUCUCCACUUCAAAUAGCAAUAAUAGUGUUUAUUCAUACUAAUUAUACUUAAAAUUGAUGAAAUUUAUGAAAAAAGAAGAAGUAAAAACCCAUACCCUUCAAAUUUACAUUUGUUUUAAUUUUAAGAUUUUUUUUCUCUACUUCAAGUAAUAAUAAUAAUAAUGUUUAUUCAUACUAAUAGCAAUAAAAUUAACGAAAAUGAUGAAAAAUAAAAAAUAAAAAAUAAAUAGUAAAAACUUCAAAAUUUUAAUAAUAAUAAUAAUAUUUAUUCAUACUAAUAAACAAUUCUUCAUAAUCAUAACCUACUAAUUUCCAACAAUUAUAAUUGAAAUUGUUUUGAAUAAACAAUGUAAUUUGUAUUUGAAGUUGAAGAAAAUUGUGAAAAUUAAAUGGGAAGGGUAGGGUUUUAAUUUUUUAUUUUAUUUAAAAUUUUUCCCUCAUUAAUUAAUUAAUUAAUUAAUUAAUUUAUUUAUUUAUUUAUGAAUUUUGAGUGAAAUUAUUAUGAAUCAACAAUUUUAUUGAUAUUUAAAGUUUAAAAAAAAAAAAUCUAUGAAUUUUAAAUAAAUUUUGGAAGGUAUUUGUAAUGGGGUAUUUUUAUUUGCACUUUCCUAUUAUGUUGAAAUAUUGUUUGGUUUCAACAUUGUUUAUUCAAAAUAAUUUCAAUUAUAAUUAUUGGAAAUUAGGAGGUUAUGAUUAUGAAGAAUUGUUUAUUAGUAUGAAUAAACAUUAUUAUUAUUAUUAUUAUUAUUAUUUGAAGCAGAGAAAAAAAUUCAUAAUGCAUAGGGAGACCACAGAUUCUAUGGAUUCAACAAUUGAUAAACCUACUUGUUUAUGUUAUUGUCCCUAACCAUCUAUUCCAUUUUUGAAUUUACUUUUGGUGCAUUUAGUUUGUAACUUAUCUUAUGUUUUACUUAUUUUCAAUUUUUUUUUUUUAAGGUUAAGAUAGUAGUUUUUUUUUUUUUUAAAAAAAAAAAAAAAAACUCUUUUGAGCAAUACUUGAUUCUCUUGCUAUUCUUAUUUUUAACCAUUUUUUCAAUAAGAAAUUAUUUCUUUUUGGCGGAAUUGUAGGAAGUGGAUUGAAUCGGAAAAUUUAUUUGGGCCAGAUUGUGUUUCACUAGAGUCUUGAGAGAUGCAGCUUAGUGAGCUUAUAAUAAAAAGGUAGGCAUUUAAACGGACCAUACUGGUCCGAGUCAAUCUUAGUUUGGCCUAGUGGGCCUUCGGAAUUGCUCCAACAUGAAUUUCAAUGUCAACUUCAAUUUUUAAAAUUAAUAAUUAUACAUUUGUUUUAACUAUUUAUAACAAAUAUUAUCUUUGAAAAGUAAAUUUCAAUUAAUUUUUAUAUUUAAAUAAAAAUUAUUAUUAUUUUAAUUAUUUGUAUCCAAAUCAUACCCGAUAUAUUUGAUUUAUCUUACAAUGUUUCAACAUAAUAGGAAAUUGCAAAUAAAAAUACCCCAUUACAAAUACCUUCCAAAAUUUAUUUAAAAUUCAUAUAUAUUUAUAUAUAUAUAUAUAUAUAUAUAUAUAUAUAUAUAUGAAUUUUAAAUAUCAAUAAAAUUGUUGAUUCAUAAUAAUUUCACUUAGAAUUCAUAAAAAAAUACGAGGAAAAAAAUUAAAAUAAAAAUUUUUAAGAUCCCUACCCUUCCCAUUUAAUUUUAACAAUUUUUUUCUGAGCAUUGAUUUGUUGAUCGAUUAUCAAGGGCCACUCAUUUGCUUUGUUGGAUCUAACUCUCUGUAUGCAUGCUCUGUUUUGGCUUUGUUUGUUUUUUUUUUUUUUUUUUAUCUUUGCUUUCUCUUGUAAAUAUCUGAUGCAUUGUUCCUUCUCUGAACUUGAGAUAUAAAAAUCAUGCUCUUGUUCCUUGUGGAUUCCACCUUCUCCUAGCUCUUUGACAAUCCAUGAAAUAGAGCUAAGUUCAUACUCUAUUUUUAUGUUUUUAUUCUUCUUUGUUUGUUGUUGAUGGUGGGAUGAUAUUAUCAAUGGCUAAGUUGCUGGGAUUUGAGGAGUGAGGUUAUGGGGAAGUGAACUUAAUGGAGGAUUUCUAUGAUCAUAUCUAUGCUCCAAUCUAUUGGUUCAAAAUGUUGGCCAUGAGACUGCAUUGAAGUUUUGGUAUUUGGGAUCACUUUGCCAUCCGGGUUCAGUAAGCAACACAGUGGCAAUAAAGAUGCAUUGGUGUUAUUAAUUUGGGUGAAUAAGUUGGUUGUAUGAAUCGUGAAAGUUCAGGUUGUGCUUUGAGGAGAGUAUAUCUUGCAUCCUAUUAUUUUAAUUAUUAAUUUUGGAUGUUGAAAUAUGAUGUGAUCGCACUUCAUACAUCAUGGUUGUGUGAGGAAAAAGAAAGAUUGAAGAAAUGGUUGUGUGAAAUGGAAAUAAGAAUGAAAAGACCCUGGAGAGGGCAAAAAUGAAAAGAAAAAAAAAAUGAAAUGAUCCCAGAGAGGGCAAAUUAAGAAGGAAGUGAGAUCUUUAAGGUGAAAGUCCCAAAAGUUUACUUCGGGAAGACUCCGAAUGGGGAGUAUAUUUAGGUACAGAUGUGUAUCCUUUGGUGAAAGCUUGAGAACCAUAGUGCAUUGUGUGAUUGCGUGUAAGCAUUUGCAUCAUAAUUGCGUUUGGAAGAAGGAUUUGUAUUAUUUAUCAAGUGUAUGUUUGAAUAUAUUAUUCAAAACUAAAAUGACUUGUUUAUUUUGUAAAUUUAGAAUUGUUGAUAUACUAAACAUAUGAUUGAAUAAGGAAAAUGAUAAUUUUGAUUGUUUUAAAUUUAUAUGGUUAAGGUUUCUUUUAAUGUAUAUAUUGUAAAUGUAAUAUUGUAUUUUGACAUAUGGUUGUGUUAUUGACCUAGAAUUUCUAACCUAUUUGGGUGUAAAACACCCUACUGAGCAACGUGGAAAUGCCCAUCUCUUUAUUUUCUAAAAUUUUAGAUGCAAAUAUAGUUUCAGAGGGACCACAAGAAGUUCAAGAAGCGUUCUAGAAAGUAAAAGAACUAUAAUAAUAGUUGUUUUUAAAUUUAUAUUUCUCUUUUUAUAUGUACCAAUUUGAGUUAUAUGGACUUUUGUAUGUUAAAUUAUAUUUUGUUAAAUUGUAAAAUAUUUUUGGAAAUAUUUUUUUUAACUUAGAGAUUAUUGUAAAUAUUUCAGCUUUUGGGCAGAAAGAUGACUGGUGGAUUUAUUAUACUUGUGAAUAAGAGAUAGUGUGAUGGUUGGUUUUAGAAAAAUAAAAUAUUAUAGUAAAUCUUAACUUAAUAAGAGCAGGAUGAUCAUCAGCCUGCUCUUGAAGCAUCCAGGGAGGGCAUAUUCCAAGAAAGUUACGAAAAAUUGAGAUGAAGAAACUGCAGUGAAGCAAUUUCAUGGAAUUUUUGCUUGGAGACUCACGAAUUACAACCAAUUGCUCAGGGUUGGGAAAAUUGGAAUUGGUGUAAAUUGUGACUGGGUCUUUGUAAAACCCACAUCAUUUAGCUAGAAAAGCUUUGAAAAUACAUUUUAAUUUAAUUUAUAAUUUCUAUGUUAGAAUAUUAGAUCCAAUUCCUAAAAAGCUUAUCAGCCUUGUAUAUAUGGCUAAGCAGGUCAACUUCCCAAGCUCAAGCGCAUUAAGAAAUUCUCAGACCUACCUUUUUUUUAUAGGAUUUUUGGGAAGUUUUACAGCAAUUGAAAACAAAUCCUAAAAGGGUCGGGAAAUUAUUUGAAAAAAUAUGGCAGAUUUGGUCACAUAGGGGACAAAGAUGUGAUAAAGUUGGUACAACGCCCAAAAUUAAACUCUCAAUUAAUUUAAUUAAACAAAUAAUCAUAAAAGAGAUCUGUGUAGACUGUGUGGCAGGUUUUUAAUUUAUGAUUUUUGUUUUUUUAUUUAUACUUUUUGAAAAAGAAAAUUCCAGUGAAAUAUGUUCGUGUAGACUGUGUGGCAGGAUGCAGACUAAACAAAGAAAUUGACACGUGCUUGAAUCCGGCCCUACACAUAGCCCCAUUGGAAAACAGCGGUUUCAUCCUCCGUACUCUUUGGGCGUUAAGUGGGUUCACAAACCAAACAAUGGGCUGCCCCAACACAGCAACACUUAGAUUGAGGACAAACUAUGUAGGUGAAUACCCAAUUAUACCCACAUGAAUCAGCGGUCAAUCUUUCAAAUCUAAGGACAGAGUAGUCAUUCCAAUUCAAACCAAACAAAGCUAUGAGAACUGCUGGCCACAGCCUCUGGUUUCCCCAAAACUUUGGGCAGUAUUCCUCAAAGAAUCAAGUGGGCUAGAUUUAAUAACUUCGUCCACCAUGGUUAGAUUAUUGGGGGCUAGAGUCAAUAACUUCAUCCACCAUGGUUAGAUUAUUGGUAUCUCGAUGGGAGAAGUUGUUUUGAUGGAAAAACAUUGUAUUUUAUUAUUUUGUAAAUUUUAUCAUCACUCAUAUAUAUUAUUUUUUAUUUAAAAUUAAAUAAAAAAUUAAAAUUCUUAGAAAAUACGAAAAGAAAGUAUAUCACAAUCUUUAUUUUCUAUUCUAAAAUUAAAAAAUAAAAAUAAAAUUAUGAAGAAAAAAGUACAUUCCAACUUACAUUAAUUAAGGGAUGAUAUACUGUGCAAAUAAAAAAUAUAAAAAAUAAUUAAAGGUUAAAUAAAUCACUUAAUAAAUCGGUAGUAUGAGUUGAUGGUUUCAUUAUUAGACUAUAACAAAGAUUUUCAUUUUCUUUUUCUUUUUAAAUGCAUUUUAUGGUGGUGUAUAACUUUUUUGUAUAAGGGUUUUUAAAUUGUAAUAUAGAUUAUAUAUAUAGUUGUGUUUUGUCCUAAAUUCUGUCUUCCAAGUUUUCAACAUUAUAUAAAAAUCCCUAAAAUCACCUACUUUAUACGUUUUCUAACAUUAUAUAAAAAUCCCUGAAUUCACCUAUUAGAAAAAUGUUAUUUGGUGCGCUAUCAUUACCAUGGCCUCAACCUCGUGCAAAUAUAUCGAGUGGUUACUAAUAGUAAAAAAUAAAUAAUAAAAACAAAAUAUAUUCAUUAUUAUUAUUAUUAUUUUGUACUUUUACCAUCCAUUAUUCACAUCUUAGCAUAUGAUAGAAAAUACGAUAAAAGAUUAUUUAUGUUGUAUGAUUUUAAGUGAAAUGAUCAAAAUAUUUAAAGAAAAAAUUAAUAAUUCAUGAAGAAUUUUUGGUAAAUUUAUAAAUUUGUAAUAAAUAUUGAUAAAUGAUAAACAAAAUAGUUUUUAAAGUGGUUGCCGUAGUUAAACAUUGUAUCUUAUUAUGAUUUUCCACCUUCAAAACUUAAUAAUAAAAUUUCAUAACAAAUUUUUAUCUAUUUGAAACUUUUGAAAUGUGAAAUCUUUUCUUGGACAUUUUUAUAUAUACAUUUGUGAAUUUUAUCUUUAUUUUUUAUUUAUAAAAUUAAAGGAUAAAAUUAAAAUGUUAAAAAUAAAAGAGAAGUAUAUCCCAACUUGCAUCAAUUAAGAGAAGAUAUAUUAAGCACAUGAAGAAUGCAAAAAAAAUUAAUGAUAAAAUAAAUCACUUAUUAGAUAGUAUUUAAUGAUUUACAUUAUUAGAUUGUAGCAAUGAGUUAUAUUUUUAUUUUUGUGUAUAGGGGAUUUUAAAUUAUAAUAUAUAUUUUUUAUUAUUUUUGAGUUAGUUUUCUUUGUUGAUACAUAGUUUUUUUUUUUGUCUUAGAUAUUGUGUUAUCAGCAGUUUUAAAAGAAAUAAAAAUUAUUUAUCCCACAUCGAUUCAAAACUAAAAAUAUUAUAUAUAUUUAUUAAAACUUUGAUACCCUUAAAAAAUACAAGUACAACCAAUAAGCAAGCAUAGGGAUGGCAACGGGGCGGGUAUGGGACAUGCCACCCCUACCCCAUUUCCAUCCCAGUUAUAUAUUUUUUUGCCCAUCUCUGUCCCAAACUUGGGGCGAGGCGAGUUGGUGUCCCCCUUACCUGUUUACAAAAGAGCUGAUAAUCUCAUCCCCGUUCCAAAUGUAUUUUCGGGAAUUAUGCUUUUACAGAACAUUGGUCUCUGAAAUUUCAAUAAACGUUAUAUGGGUUAUCAUAAACACAUUUAAUCAAGCAUUUGUUGUGCAACAAAACUAAAAAUUGCACAUAUGAGAACAAAAUGUACAUAUCUACAAAUAAACAACCCAAAAAAUCUCAAAUCCAUAAAGCAAAACCAGAAAAAUAUGAAAAACAAGACAUUCUAACAAAGCCUCAAAACUUAGGGUUUUCUUACCUGGAAAUGAGGAAUCUAUAGAAACCCUAAUAAUUUGUUGUCUACGAAUUUGGUUUUUAGUUUUUAGAGCAAAAAUUGUGCUUUUAGGGUGAAAUGGGAAGAAGCAAUUUAGGAAGAAAUGAGAAAACGGGAAGAAAUGAGAAAACGAAAGGCCUCUUAUGAGCAAAAGAACCCUGAGCAAUUUAGGAAGAAAUGAGAAAACGGGAAGAAAUGAGAGCGAAAGCCCUCUAACUCUUUCACGAGCGAAAUAACCCUAAAACUUGAGGAAGAAAUGAUUAUAUAUGGAGGACUUUUUGGGUAUUUUGUAAUGACGUAAGGGUAAAUUGGUAAUUCACAUACGGGGUGGGGCAGAAACUGCAAAACCCAUCCCUGCCUUAAACCCGAUUCGGGUUUUUAUAUAUUCCCCAAACCCGUUUUAUACCCGAAUAGGAUAUUCUCAUACUCGUCCCAAUAGGGACGGGGCGGGUGACCCAAAUUACCCGGAAAAUUGUCAUUCCUAAGCAAGCAUUGAGUUAAAUCCUAAUCUCACAUUCCUGCUCGAAACUUUACACUCACAUAAAAACAACUCACCACUUGACUCGAGGGACUAUUCCGUAACUUCUCACUACCAACAACUAGGCACUAUUCAACCUCUCGCUCACUUAUAAAUUCACUCUCUACCUGCAUAUUCAAAAUGUAUCUCACUACUAUUCUACUCUACUAUUCUACUUUUCGUGGUUUCAUAUCUCACUAUUAUUCUACUUUUCGCGGUUUCAUAUCUCACUACUAUUCGCGUGUUCAAAGUGUGCAUAUUCAAACUGUAUCCCUCCCUGAAUUAAUUGUGAAUUAAUUUAGGCUUCAAAGUGUGAUGCUCUACAAUAUCCCUCCCAGUCAGGCCUCAAAGUAAGAACAACAACAUCUACAAUAUCUGCCAUGGCCACACAACCAAGGCAUGCGGUAUGCCGCAUUUUCUCAUGUCCUUUUCCCAUUUUGUUCCCUCUUUUCAUCUCCAUUUUGUUUUCAAUAUUCCCUUACCUUACUCAUAUUCUCUAAAAUUAGAUAAAAUUAUUAAUUUGAUCAUAUUUAUCUAACAUUUUUAAUUAGUACUACUAGUAUCUUAUUUUCAUAAAUCUAAUUGAAUUUCCUACUUAUUUAUUUAUUGUUUUCAUGACAAAACUUCAUCAGCUUUCAUAUCUUUCCUUACAAUUCUGAGUUCAACUGUCCUUGCGAAAUACCAAUAUGAGAAUGUUUUCCCAUUUGCCCAACACAACAUAGGUAUGCAAAUCUCCUUAUUUGCAUCAUUUAUAUAUUUCAUGAUGGUUGUGGUUUAUGAAAUCCUUGAUUCAGAUGGAACUAUCAAAAUUCAAGAAGAUGGAAGAUAUCUCCUUAUUUUGGGUCAUGUUCGGUUCUUAAGUGGAACAGCAGCUGCAACUUUGUUGAUCCUGAUCUUGAUCCCAUAUUUUGGAUGGUUCUUUCUGAUCAUGUGGACCAUGUUCUUAGUGAAAAUAGCAUGCUAUUGGGAUAAAACAUUUUAUAACUUUGACAUGUUCGAGAAUUAAAAAAAAUGCCAAUGAUAAGGAAUGAGGACAAGAGGAGCAACGACCCCAAGUUUAGAGUAGGUUUGGUCUAUAAGAGGUUAUUAGCAAAAAACAUAUUUUCUUCUUGUACUUUCGAAAGUGUUAUAUAAGUGUUAUAUUUUGAGUAAUGAGAGUAUUUUUUUUUUCCUUUUUUCUUUUUCUCUAAUACAUUAUUGUUGAUUAUUCUUCGCUGGAAUACCCACAAAGCUAUUAGAUGUUUCAUUGCAAAUAUGGUUUUAUAUGAUAGCAUUAUGAUUGAACUAAUAAAAUAAAUUUUCUGCAUAUUGUUUAGCUGGACCUCCCAACUACCUCUCGGUAAUAUCCUCUUAACAUAGGAAAUAUAAACUAAUAGCAAGUGCUAAUCUUUCCCAUUCUUACACAAGAAAGAACCAAGGAAAAGGUAUAUUUAGAAGUUGCAUUUCUAUGUUCCCAAACAAUAGAAAAUUCAAUAUAUGGUGCUUUACUCUCUACUUUUCUUUCCCACCUUUUCUCAUAACCCAAAUAUGCUCACGUCUCUUUCCAAGAUCCAACCAAAAUUGAAACACAAUUACAAAAAUCCUUGUAAAAAAGACAGAUCAUACUACAAUUACACUUUCAUACAAGAAAUUGAAGUGCAGAAAGUAUAAAAAUUGAGUGAAACAAAUAAAAACCAACCUCCUUUCACACACCUGCUAAUGAAAUACUUGUAGAGACACUUUAAAUUUCUCCAGACUCCAAGAGAUAUUGAUCAACAGCCUCGACACUUGCAGCGACGAGACCAGCAUCUGAUACGAUAUAAUGCACAAACUCGGCACGGAAUCGAUAAGACUCGGUUAGAUUACAAAUUUUUUUUCAAACAUUCUUUUUUUCUUUCCAAUCACAAUAAAACAUCAUAAUAUUUUCAAAAAUAAAAAUAAGAGAUUCCCCUUUCAAAAGCAGACACCCAUGAUUCUGAAAUUGGAGCUUUUAACCCAGAAGAUCAAAGAAGAUGAAGAAGAAAAAACCCAACCCCUGACCCGUUCGAAAAUAAGAGGAGAAACCACCGAAGAAUGAGGGCAUGAUUUAGGAUUUACUUACUUGAUUUUCCUAAAAAUCAAGAAUCAUCGGAGGGUGGAGGUUUGGUGUCGGCGGUGGUAACUCGUCAAGUGGACUGAAUCUUACAACGGCGACGUCGGCCAGACAACCCCUUCACAGUUAGAUUGCUUCCCCUCCGGGGUCUUGCAUAGUUGCAAAUUUGCAAUUGUAGGUGGUGUCAUCUGUCGGCGGUCUUGACAACAAUGGUGGUGUGCGAGUGUGGGAGAUUGGGAGCCCAAAUUGGUAAAGUAAAAAAAUGCAUUUUAUAUGGAUUUACAUUGAUGAUAUGAGAUAGGAUUUGAUGGUAACAUAUUAAAUUAAAUUAAAUGAUUGAGUCCAAAAUGAUCUGGAUGGUAUGAGAUGGGAUUUAGUGAAAAAUUAAAUGUAUUUAUAUGGCAGAUUGAGAAUUAAAUCCACAAUUCUUAGUAUUAUUAUAAAUAGCUUUGAGUUAAAUGUGAAAAAAAUUUAUUAAUUUUUUAAGCUUAUUAAGUUUAUAUCUAUUUUUUUUAUAUAUAAUUUACAUAAUAUUUUUAUAAUUUUUUUGAAAUUUCUAAUUAUCUUAUUUUGCGUAUUGCUUGAUAUCGAAUCAAGAUGUCGAGACCAACAUAUCUCGAGAUCAUCCGAGUCAAUGAUCGAUAUCGCGACUUUGAACUAUGCUCAUCUCCAAUCCCUCAAUAGUGAUGAAAAAUAAGGGCAACGCAAUUACCUUUUUUAUUAUUAUCAGUUCAAAAUAAUACAUGUAUUAUAAUAUAAUUUUUUUAAAAUAUUUUACAAAAAAAUAUAUGUGGACCCCGUAUUUAGGCUCAUGCGCUUCCAUUCGAUGGCAAACUCGAUUUUAUUUUGAAAAUGAUUUUAUUUAUUAAAAAAUGACUUGGAGUCGCCACUUAUUUUUGUUUUAUUUUUAAAGGGUAAAGAAAAUAAGAAAGAAAACCCUAUGUGUGACUACUUAUUUUGAAAAAGGUGGUCUGUGAAAAACCGAAUCAGGUUCGGGGGUCAGGUUACUUAUUGGGAAGGUACAGUAAAAACCGUAGCACCCCUUUAAGUUCCCAAAGUCGGGUCUCUACUAAUAAAAUGAAGCUAACACGACAAUGAAUAAGAAAAAUAAUGAAUAUUGACAUGAUCACAUAUUGAAAGCCAAAACAUAUAAGGAUGAUGGUCAGAGUGAGAAAAAAUGCAUACCUGAUCAGCAAGCGGUAACGCGCUAUCAUAAAAUGAGGUUAGUGCACAAAUAAUGGACAUAAAACAUAGCUCACAUGCCACUGAAUCGAGUACAAAAUCAUCAGAUAUCACAAUUAAGUUAAAUUUAUUUUUCGAGGAAACAAUCACUGAUGUUGGGCCCCCACUGUAGACCCUCAAAUUUGUCCCUUUAGCACAUGUCUUUGAGUUCGUUUUCAGUACUUCAAAAUAGUUCCUUGGUGGCCCAUGGCUACUCAUACCACUUACCUUUUUCUGAGUCACCUCGGAGAUUUUGGUCGAGGGAUUAUCUGACCCAUUAUUGUGACCCUUGGCAACCCUAUUUUAGACUUAGGCUUUUCGUUCAUUUUUAGGAUAGCUUUUAGGGUAGCUCAUUUAGGCACCCUAGGCCCACUUAGGCACUUAGGCCCAUUUAGGCACCCUAGAUCCACUUAGGCACUUAGGCCCAUUAGGUCCACCUUGGCCCACUUAGUCUCACCUUGGCCCAUUAGUCUUUGUUUUUAGUAUGACUUAUAUGGUUGUAUGACGCAUUUAUCUCAUUUACUUAUUUAUUUAUCUUUAUUUUUUAUUAUUACUAACCACUUUUAUUUGAUCAUUUAUUAUGGUUUUAUUUAUUCAUUUGUUUUGAUUUAUUUUCAUUAUUAUCAAUCAUUUUUUAGUUAUUUAUUUAUUUAGUAUUCUUACUUAUUUAUUUAUUAUCUUGUUAUUUAUUCAUUUAUCUAUUAUUAUCAUUUUAUAUUCUCCGAUUUAUUUAUUUAGUUAUUUAUUUAUUUUAUUAUUUAUUAUCUAUUUUAUUAUUUAUUUAUUUAUUUAAUUUAAUAAUUUGAAAUUUUUAUGGAAGAAGUCUACCAUUGGAUAAGUUUUUGAAAACGGUAAAACUCUUUAAAUGAUAUGCAUGGAUUGUGGGUGAUAUGCGUGGAUUGGUAUUGUUUGAAAUUAAAAAAAAAUGAGUUUUUCCGGUGCAUAAGAUAAAAUCUGGAGGGAGGAAGACUCCUCACGUAGGAGGACUAUUAUUUGCUAUAAAAAAGCUCUAACAGAUAGGUAUAAAGGGAGGACUUUCGGCACAUAGAAAAAAAAAAAAAAAAGAGAGAGAGGCGGAAAAAUUGGAUUUUCAGAGAAGACUUUCUAGUGAGAAGCUGUCGGUGGAGAAGAAGGAGAGGGCGGUGGAAGAAAUCUCAGACGACAAACCAGUGGGAUCUCCUUGCCAGAGGAGAGCGUUCCUCGGUAUGUUUGUUGAGAACUCCUUACUUAUUGAUAUUAUCACUUUGUUCUGUAUCCUCUCUGGUUAGUGUUCUUUUACCAUUGUUUUUUUGUUAGGAUAUGAAAGUGAUAUUGGUCUUCUCUUCUCUCAUAUUCUUUUAGUUUCAUCUAAUCAUAAAUCUGAACGUAGUCUCAAUCACACCACUGGUCUGCGAAUCUAUCGACUUCAGAAAGAAAUGGGAUCCCAUUUAAUGUCUAGUUUCCUUGUUUAUUUUGUUAUGGAUAUCCUGUAUUUUGUUUCGUUUACUACUCUACAUCUAGUAUCCCGAUCCAUGUCCCUGUUGUUGGCUCACAUCUUUGAAUUUACUCCGGACGUUUGGUUUCGUGUUCUGAUUUGCACUUGAGAGAGAGGGUUCAGUACAUGACAAGCCAUAUAUCGUGUUAAAUGGAAAUUUGGAUUUUUUUUUCACUGGAGAUUUUAGAUUUCAAAAAUUGGUUUGCAUAGGAACUCUUCCCGAAGUCGGACCUUCGACAAGCCAUUCAAUUCCUAGUCAUUCCUAAUCUCUAGCAUUCCUCUAUCUGAAUUUCAGAUAGAUUUGGUUACCCACUUCCCGAAAACACUAGAAACUGAGUCCACUCCUUUUAGGUCACUGCUUUCUCAUCAUUCGCGGGAUGGGUCUUCCACAUCUGCUUGUGUUCCUGUUCCUGACAUGAAGACCCUAACUAGUUCGUUGCGAUCUUCUCAUUUUGAAGCCCUAGAUGAUCAAAGUUUGGUUCCUACUUCGCCAUGGUCUUGGAACAGAGAAACUAAACCACCAUUCUCUUCAUACCUUCCUCGAGAAAUUGAACCCACUAUGGUGGGUGCUGGGCUUGUAAAUCUAGGCAACACAAUGCUUUCUUAAUGCAGUGCUCCAAUGCUUCACGCACACUGUCCCCCUUGUCCAGAGCCUUCGUUCUUGCAAUUAUGCCAUGCCUUGUCAUAGUUUGUGUUUCUUCCAUUGGUUUCUGUUUAUAUUAAAGAAUGAUCCGACUUUGUUAGUUCCAUUGUAAUAUCCAGAAGUUCCUUCUUCUUUCUUCCAUGUUCAAGCCUGUUGAAAGUGCAUGUAUGAUACAUGGCUUUGAAUGAUUGCCCAUCUACGUGUUUCCCUUCCCCUUGCCAUCCUUUUGCUAUAUCUUAUAGCCUUUGUUCAUGGUUUGUGGGUCGGUUUGCAAGAACGUCUUAUCGUUUGCAAUGAUUAGCACCCGAGCCAUCCUCAUUUGGCUGAUCAAUGUCACUGGGGAAGUCCUUGGAGGGCGGUUGCUACUCUUGAUAUUACAGGUGAUAUGGUGGUAUUUGUGGGUUUUGUUGAGGGUAUUUGGGUUCAGAUCGAAACUGCCCAUCUGAGGUCCUGGAUGAAAGAAUCAAUCCUGUGUCAGUUGUUUGUCUCAAUUAUCUAUAAGAUAGACAAGUGUCCUUAUUAGCAACAGGUGAAAGGAUGGGUAUGCAGAUAGAUCCAAGCCAAGUUGGAGAGUGGUGUCGGACACGCGCUUGAUGAAGGAAACAUUGAGGUUCUUGGAUAUAAACAUGGUCCUACCAUCAGAUCUGAUGUGACAACCAAUAUGUUGUGUCACAAGGAAGAAAUAUUUGAACCAAUACUUCUCUGCAUGGCCAUGCGAAUUCCGAGCAUAUAUACUCCUCGACUGGGACGACGUUCAUAAUGUUGACCACGUGUGAACUAUUUUUUGAAGGUGGGAAUUUUGCGAAUUCAUUUCAGCGCCCAAUUUUGUGUGUAUUUGAUCAGACUUUGGGCUAUCAGUUGGAAUCCAGCACGACUUUAGUUAUCGGCCGCUCGUUCACGAUGUGCUAGAUUGGAAGCUUAAUAGGUUGGAGUAUGGGGCAGACCUCUAGCACUGCUAGGUUCGCCUGACACAGGUGGACAGAUUGCUUAUAUGCUGGAUCAAGUGCGUGCCUUGGAAAAUGAGAUGCUUCUUAAGAUACAAAAGCAAGGACUUGAUGUCAUUCCUAAAAUUCUCAUAGUUACCCGACUUAUACCUGAUGCAAAGGGGACCACACGCAAUCAGAGACUUGAAAGAAUCAGUGGUACAGAACAUACACAUAUUUUUUGAGUGCCAUUUAGAAGAGAAAAUAGUAUUCUGCGGAAAUGGAUCUCAAGGUUUGAUGUAUGGCCAUAUCUGGAAACCUUUGCAGAGGAUGUAUCAAAUGAAAUUGCUGCCGAGCUACAGGGAGUUCCAGAUCUGAUCAUUGGCAACUAUAGUGAUGGGAAUCUUGUUGCAUCUUUACUAUCUUAUAAGCUGGGAAUUACGCAGUGCAAUAUUGCUCAUGCAUUGGAGAAAACAAAAUAUCCAGAGUCUGAUAUAUAUUGGAGAAAAUUUGAGGAUAAGUACCAUUUCUCAAGCCAAUUUACUGCUGAUCUAAUUGCAAUGAACAAUGCAGAUUCUAUAAUCACCAGUACAUACCAAGAGAUUGCCGGAAGCAAGAAUCAUGUUGGACAGUAUGAGAGCCACACAGCCUUCACUCUUCUAGGGCUGCACCGAGUUGUUCAUGGCAUUGAUUUUUUAUCCCAAGUUUAAUAUCAUAUCUCCAGAAGCAGACAUGCCCAUAUACUUCUCAUACUCAGAAAAAGAAAUGGUUGAAAGUCACAUGCAGAAACUCGUCCAUAUGGAAAACUUGAAAAUAUGCACAUAUUCCUUUUUGAUCCUUGCUGCCAGUUUUCACUCAACCACUGACCCUUCAACUUCAAAAAUUCAUUUUGACAACUUUAGGAUAUCUGUAAAAAAUUUCCAGAAAUUUUAUGACUUUCCUCACUUCUUGAACUUGAAUUUGAGGUUUUGUUUGAGUUAGAAAGUCAUUCUGAGAUAGAAGAUAUAAAUGAGUCUUUAGGGGGACUCCGUUUUCACAUAGUUCUGGACACCCAAGAUCUUUUGGAAAAAAUAAAAUACUAGAGGACUUUUUAAAAUUGAUUCAAUAUUUUUUCUCAAUUAUGAGCUUCUUGAAAUUGAUUUUAGACACAUAAAAUAUUAGAAAAUAUGCAUUUUUGAGGGAGAUAUGAUUUUUCAAAGUUGUGCCUACUGCGCAUGCUGGAGUUUGUACAUCUGAUUACAUUUAUAGUUUUAAAAAUAUUUUUGAGUACUAUUCGACCCCGAAUUUAUUUUUUAUGUGAUAUAGACAUUUUGAAAUAUGUGUGUGAUUUUUUUUUAUGAUUUUAUAGGAUCAUUUAUUAUUUUAAAAAAAUUCAUUUAUGCACGUCACUUUUCCUUAUCUAAUCUGGACUUUGUAGAACCUUUAGGUGCCUUUGCAAUAAUCUGUCUUUUGAAUGAGUGUUUGGCUUUUGGUAUGUUAAUCUAGGUGUGUAGGAGUUGUUUCCUGAAACUUUUUGUAAUCAAAUUCCACUCUAAGCCAUUUUUUUAGAAAUUGUUUUACGAUGCUUCAUUUUCUAACCGCAUGCUGAUGGUUUUAUACCUUACUUGAAAUUGUUAUUAUUUUUGGAGUCAUUUAAUUUGUCUUAGCUCAAUUUUGGCUUUGAAACUGUAUAUUAGACAUAAUGGAUAUUUCAUAUAAUUUAUGCUUGCCCUAACCAAUCUAGCAUUUUUCGAGGAAUCUUAUAAAAUAUACUUGCUAUCCAGGUACGUUCUCUAUCCUCUAAUUCCAAAAUUCUAUGAAAAUGCAUGCUAUCAUGAGCUAUAUCCAUGCUUUGAUUUAAUCCUUGGGUGCUUAGAUGUAUGUUUGACUUGCUUGGAUAAAAUGCAUGUUGUGUGCUAUAUCUCUAUACUAACUUUGAUGUCUUGUGAUAGCGCUUGAAAAGUCGUUCAGGUACGUACUUCGAUUUUCUCUCAUGGUUUGUUUUCUUAUUAGGCAUGCAAUAUUUGAAAUCACCUAGUCUACUUAGGUAUCCAUGAUCAACCAUUUAAUUGCCACGCUUCCCUUAACUUAGUCAGUAGAGACCUUUUUAGGGCUUAGAGGGGUGCUACCUUCUAGAGGUACCUUCCCAAUAAGUAACCUGAUCCCCAGACUUAGACUCGGGUUUCUCAAAGACAUGCUUUUUCCAAAACUAUGGAGUCACUUUUUAGGGUUUUUCUUUCUUGUUUUAUUUUCCCUUCAAAAUAAAAAUAAAAUAGGUGACGACUCCAACUUUUUUUUUUUCAAAAAUCAAUUUUUCACAAAUAAAAAAGCGAGUCUCGCCGAUCGAGUGGGGGCGCACAUGAAAACUGCGGGUCCACACCCACCAAAACCCAAUUUAUUCCUGCAUGAAUUAAUUCCGUAAAUUCCAUCACUUGGAAUUACAUAAUUUAAUUCACACUUAUUUUUAAAACGUUUUAGAAAUCAUGGAAGUUAUGGAAAUACCUGCCGAAGAAAAUGGCAACAAAAUUUUAUUAAAAAUGUGAUUUUUGGGACUUGAAAGCUCUAAGGAUGAAGAAUCUGGAAAAUAAUGCGAAAAAAAUGAGAUUUGGAAAAAAAUAUUUUUUUAAACCAAGAAUGGUGAAAAUGAGAAAAAGAAAAAAGAAAAAAAAAGGAAGUGACAUGUGGCAUAAGGGUGGCCAUGCUAAGGUGGCCAUGCACCAUUCCAAACAAAUCUAACCCCAUUUGCUUUUAUUUGAUCCUGAUCUUAAUCCCAUAUUUUGGAUGGUUCCUUCUGGUCAUGUGGACCAUGUUCUUAGUGAAAAUAGCAUGCUAUUGGGAUAAAACAUUUUAUAACUUUGACAUGUUCAAGAAUAAAAAAAAAAGUCAAUGAUAGGGAAGGAGGACAAGAUGUGUAGCGACCCCAAGUUUAGAGUAGGUUUGGUCCAUAAGAGGUCAUUAGCAAAGAACAUAUUUUCUUCUUGUACUUUCGAAAGUGUUAUAUUUUGAGUAAUGAGAGUAUUUCUUUUCCUUUUUUCUUUUUCUCUAAUACAUUAUUGGUGAUUAUUCUUCGCCAGAAUACCCACAAGGCUAUUAGAUGUUUCAUUGCAAAUAUGGUUUUAUAUGAUAGAAUUAUGAUUGAACUUAUAAAACAUAUUUUCUACAUAUUGUUUAGCUGGGCAUCCCAACUACCUCUCGGUAAUAUCCUCUUAACAUAGGAAGUAUAAACUAAUAGCAAGUGUUAAUCUUUCCCAUUCUUACACAAGAAAGACCCAAGGAGAAGGUAUAUUGAGAAAUUGCAUAUCUAUGUUCCCAAACAAUAGAAAAUUCAAUAUAUGACACUUCACUCUCUACUUUUCUUUCCUACAUUUUCUCAUAACCCAAAUAUGCUCACCUCUCAUUCUAAGAUCCAACCAUUGAAAAACAAUUACAAAAAUCCUAAUAAAAGAGACAGAUCAUACUACAAUUACACUUUCUUACAAGAAAUUGGAGUGUAGAAGGUAUAACAAUUGAGUGAAACAAAUAAAAACCAACCUCCUUUAACACACCUGCUAAUGAAAUACUUAUAGAGACACUAUAAAUUCCUCCAGACUCCAAAAGAUACUGAUCAACAGCCUCGGCACUUGCAGCGACGAGACCAACACCUGAUAUGAUAUAAUGCACGAACUCGACACAGAAUCGGUAAGACUCAGUUAGAUUACAGAAAAAUUUUCAAACAUUCUUUUUUUCUUUCCAAUCAUAAUAAAACAUCAGAAUAUUUUCAAAAAUAAAAAUAAGAGAUUCCCCUUUCAAAAGCAAACACCCAUGAUUUUGAAAUUGGAGCUUUUAACCCAGAAGAUCAAAGAAGACGAAGAAGAAAAAACCCAAUCCCUGACCUGUUCAGAAAUAAGAGGAGAAACCACCGAAUGAUGAAGACAUAAUUUAGGAUUUACUUACCUGAUUUUCCUAAAAAUCGAGAAUCAUCGGAGGGUGGAGGUUUGGUGUCGGCGGUGGUAACUAGUCAAAUGGACUAAAUCUUACAACGGGGACGUCGGCCAGGCAACCCCUCACAGUUAGAUUGCUCCUCCUCCGGGGUCUUUCAUAGUUGCAAAUUUGCAAUUGCAAGUGGUGUCAUUUGUCUGCGGUCUUGACAGAAAAGGUGGUGUGCAAGGUGUGGGAGAUUGGGAGCCCUAAUUGGUAAAGUAAAAAAUGCAUUUUAUAUGGAUUUACAUUGAUGAUAUGAGAUAGGAUUUGAUGGUAAAUUAUUAAAUUAAAUUAAAUGAUUGAGUCCAAAAUGAUAUGGAUGGUAUGAGAUAGGAUUUAAUGAAAAAUUAAAUGUAUUUAUAUGGCAGAUUGAGAAUUAAAUCCCCAAUUCUUAGUAUUAUUAUAAAUAGCUUUGAGUUAAAUGUGAAAUUUUUUUGUUUUAUUAAUUUUUUAAGCUUAUUUAAUUUCUAUCUUUUUUUUUAUAUAUAAUUUACAUAACAUUUUUAUAAUUUUAUGAAAUUUCUAAUUAUCUUAUUUUGUGUAAUGCUUGAUACCGAAUCGAGAUGUCAAGACCAACAUGUCUCGGGAUCAUCUGAGUCAAUGAUCGAUAUCGCGACUUUGAACCAUACUCGUCUCCAAUCCCUCAACAAUGAUGAAAAAUGAGGCCAACGUAGUUGCCUUUUUUAUUAUUAUCAGUUAAAAAUAAUGAAUCUAUAUCCAUGUAUUAUCAAGAAUAAAUAAGUUUAUAUUUAUAAAUUUUUAUUAUAAAUUUAUAUUUACACAUAUCCUUGAUUUUCCUCAAGGUUUUAUUUUUAAUUGAUUACAAAGCAUUAGUACUUAUUUAAUUUAAAAUGUAUUAAAUAAAUAUUAAUAUUAUAUAAAUAAAUAAAAGUUGAAUUUGAAUAAAAAAUUUAUAUAUAUAUAUAUAUAUAUAUAUAUAUAUAUAUAUAUAUAUAUAUAUAUAUAUAUAUAUAUAUAUAUAUAUAUCAUAUUCUACAUGAAUAUGAAUCUAUUAUUAAAGAUACAUGGUAAUAAGUGUUAAUAUUAUAUAAUCAAAUGAGAGAGUACAAAAAUGUUCUAUUAAUAACAAUACAUUAUUAUAAUAAUAAGAUACUUAAUAUCAUGUAAAUAAAUAAAAGUCGUCAUAAAUUUAAAUUUGAAUUUAUAUUUUAAAACCCAUCACAUUUAUUUUUAUUUUUUUAAAAUUUUAAGAAUUUUUUCUCCACUUCAAAUAGCAAUAAUAGUGUUUAUUCAUACUAAUUAUACUUAAAAUUGAUGAAAAUUAUGAAAAAAGAAAAAGAAGUAAAAACCCAUACCCUUCAAAUUUAUAUUUGUUUUAAUUUUAAAAUUUUUUUCUCUACUUCAAGUAAUAAUAAUAAUAAUGUUUAUUCAUACUAAUAACAAUAAAAUUAAUGAAAAUGAUGAAAAAAAAAAUAGUAAAAACUUCAAAUUUGUAAUAAUAAUAAUAUUUAUUCAUACUAAUAAACAAUUCUUCAUAAUCAUAACCUACUAAUUUCCAACAAUUAUAAUUGAAAUUAUUUUGAAUAAACAAUGUAAUUUGUAUUUGAAGUUGAAAAAAAUUGUGAAAAUUAAAUGGGCAGGGUAGGGCUUUAAUUUUUUUUAUUUUGUUUUAAAUUUUUCCCUCAUAAAUUUAAUUUAAUUUAAUUUUUUUUUUAUGAAUUCUCAGUGAAAUUAUUAUGAAUCAACAAUUUUAUUGACAUUUAAAGUUUUAAAAAAAAAUCUAUGAAUUUUAAAUAAAUUUUGGAAGGUAUUUGUAAUGGGGUAUUUUUAUUUGCACUUUCCUAUUAUGUUGAAACAUUGUUUGGUUUCAACAUUGUUUAUUCAAAAUAAUUUCAAUUAUAAUUAUUGGAAAUUAGGAGGUUAUGAUUAUGAGGAAUUGUUUAUUAGUAUGAAUAAACAUUAUUAUUAUUAUUUGAAGCAGAGAAAAAAUUCAUAAUGCAUAGGGAGACCACAGAUUCUAUGGAUUCAACAAUUGAUAAGCCUACUUGUUUAUGGUAUUGUCCCUAACCAGCUAUUCCAUUUUUGAAUUUACUUUUGGUGCAUUUAGUUUGUAACUUGUCUUAUGUUUUACUUAUUUUCAAUUUUUUUUUAAGGUUUAGAUAGUUUUUUUUUUUUUUUAUUUAGAAAAAAAACCUCUUUUGAGCCAUAACUUGAUUCUCUUGCUAUUCUUAUUUUUAACCAUUUUUUCAAUGAGAAAUUAGGUCUUUUUGGCGGAAUUGUAGGAAGUGGAUUGAAUCGAAAAAUUUAUUUGGGCCAGAUUGUGUUUCACUAGAGUCCUGAGAGAUGCAGCUUAGUGAGCUUAUAAUAAAAAGAUAGGCAUUUAAACGGACCAUACUAGUCUGAGUCAUUCUUAGUUUGGCCUAGUGGGCCUUCAGAAUUGCUCCAACAUGAAUUUCAACGUCAACUUCAAUUUUUAAAAUUAAUAAUUAUACAUUUGUUUUAACUAUUUAUAACAAAUAUUAUCUUUGAAAAGUAAAUUUCAAUUAAUUUUUAUAUUUAAAUAAAAAUUAUUAUUAUUUUAAUUAUUUGUAUCCAAAUCAUACUCAAUAUAUUUGAUUUAUCUUACAAUGUUUCAACAUAAUAGGAAAGUGCAAAUAAAAAUACCCCAUUACAAAUACCUUCCAAAAUUUAUUUAAAAUUCAUAGAUUUUUUUUUUUUUUUUUACUUUAAAUAUCAAAAAAAUUGUUGAUUCAUAAUAAUUUCACUUAGAAUUCAUAAAAAAAUAGGAGGAAAAAAAAUUAAAAUAAAAAAUUUUAAGAUCCCUACCCUUCCCAUUUAAUUUUAACAAUUUUUUUUUUCUGAGCAUUGAUUUGUUGAUCGGUUAUCAAGGGCCACUCAUUUGCUUUGUUGGAUCUAACUCUUUAUAAGCAUGCUCUGUUUUGGCUUCGUUUUUUUUAUCUUUGCUUUCUCUUGUAAAUAUCUGAUGCAUUGUUCCUUCUCUGAACUUGAGAUAUAAAAACCAUGCUCUUGUUCCUUGUGGAUUCCACCUGCUCCUAGCUCUUUGACAAUCCAUGAAAUAGAGCUAAGUUCAUACUCUAUUUUUAUGUUUUUAUUAUUCUUUGUUUGUUGUUGAUGGUGGGAUGAUAUUAUCAAUGGCCAAGUUGCUGGGAUUGGAGGAGUGAGGUUAUGGGGAAGUGAACUUAAUGGAGGAUUUUUGUGAUCAUAUCUAUGCUCCAAUCUAUUGGUUCAAAAUGUUGGCCACGAGACUGCAUUGAAGUUUUGGUAUUUGGCAUCACUUUGCCAUCUGGGUUCAGUAAGCAACACAGUGGCAAUAAAGAUGCAUUGGUGUUAUUAAUUUGGGUGAAUAAGUUGGUUGUAUGAAUUGUGAAAGUUCAAGUUGUGCUUUGAGGAGAGUAUAUCUUGCAUCCUACUAUUUUAAUUAUUAAUUUUGGAUGUUGAAAUAUGAUGUGAUCGCACUUCAUAUGCAUCAUGGUUGUGUGAGGAAAAAAAAAGAUUAAAGAAAUGGUUGUGUGAAAUGGAAAUAAGAAUGAAAAGACCCUGGAUAGGGCAAAAAUGAAAAGAAAAGAAAAGAAAAAAAAAUGAAAUGAUCCUAGAGAGGGCGAAUUAAGAAGGAAGUGAGAUCUCUAAGGUGAAAGACCCAAAAGUUUACUUCGGGAAGACUCCAAAUGGGGAGUAUAUUUAGGUAUAGACGUGUAUCCUUUGGUGAAAGUUUGAGAACCACAAUGCAUUGUGUGAUUGCGUGUAAGCAUUUGCAUCAUAAUUGCAUUUGGAAGAAGGAUUUGUAUUAUUUAUCAAGUGUAUGUUUGAAUAUAUUAUUCAAAACUAAAUGACUUGUUUAUUUUCUAAAUUUAGAAUUGUUGAUAUACUAAACAUAUGAUUGAAUAAGGAAAAUGAUAAUUUUGAUUGUUUUAAAUUUGUAUGGUUGAGGUUUCUUUUAGUGUAUAUAUUGUAAAUGUAAUAUUAUAUCUUGACAUAUGAUUGUGUUAUUGACCUAGAAUUUCUAACCUAUUUGGGUGUAAAACACCCUACUAAGCAACGUGAAAAUACUCACCCCUUUAUUUUCUAAAAUUUUUAGAUGUAGAUAUAGUUUCAGAGGGGCCACAAGAAGUUCAAGAAGCGUUCUAGAAAGCAAAAGAACUAUAAUAAUAGUUGUUUUUAAAUUUAUAUUUCUCCUUUUACAUGUACCAAUUUGAAUUAUAUGGGCUUUUGUAUGUUAAAUUAUAUUUUGUUAGAUUGUAAAACAUUUUUGAAAAUAUUUUUUUUGACUUAGAGAUUAUUGUAAAUAUUUGAGCUUUUGGGCAAAAAGAUGACUGGUGGAUUUAUUAUACUUGUGAAUAAGAGAUAAUGUGAUGGUUGGUUUUAGAAAAAUAAAAUAUUACAGUAAAUCUUAACUUAAUAAAUUUAUUUAAAAUUAGACGUUUUAUUAUUUAAAAAAAAAAAGUUUCAAAGUGUUUUGAUUGAUUGUUAGUGUGGAUAGGAAUAACCCUUAGGGUCAAACCCUUGGGCCGACUAUGUAGGUGAAUACCCAAUUGUACCCACAUGAAUCAGCCGUCAAUCUUACAAAUCCAAGGGCAAAGUAGUCAUUCCAAUUCAAACCAAACCAAGCCAUGAUUCAUGAAAACUGCUGGCCACAGCUCCUGGUUUUUCCCAAACUUUGGGCACCAAAUCCAAACCCAUCUCUUGCUAUAUAACCAACCCACCUUCACCUCAUCUUCUUCAUCACAACACAACUACCUUGAUUUAUAGAGAGAUCUUCUAUAUCCAUUCACUACUCAGAAUCACCUCUUUCUAUUGUUGAUUGUUGUUUGGGUUUCGGAGAAAGAAAAUUAAGAAGAUGAGUCAUAUGGGGAAAGCUUGGUUAGUGGCAGCAAGUGUGGGAGCAGUGGAGGCACUCAAGGAUCAGGGCUUCUGCAGAUGGAACUACACUCUGAGGUCUAUUCACCAGCAUGCCAAGACCAACCUCAGGUCCUUUGCUCAGGCCAAGAAGCUCUCUUCUUCCUCUUCCGCCAUGGUUUCCAGCAGAGUGAGAGAGGAGAAGGCCAAGCAGUCAGAGGAGUCUCUGAGGACUGUCAUGUACUUGAGCUGCUGGGGACCCAACUGAAGAAGAAGAUAUGAAGAUGGAUGAUCAUCAGCCUGCUCUUGAAGCAUCCAGGGAGGGCAUAUUCCAAGAAAGUAACGGAAAAUUGAGAUGAAGAAGCUGCAGUGAAGCAAUUUCAUGGAAUUUUUGCUUGGAGACUCACGAAUUACAACCAAUUGCUCAGGGUUGGGAAAAUUGGAAUUGGUGUAAAUUGUGACUGGGUCUUUGUAAAACCCACAUCAUUUAGCUAGAAAAGCUUUGAAAAUACAUUUUAAUUUAAUUUAUAAUUUCUAUGUUAGAAUAUUAGAUCCAAUUCCUAAAAAGCUUAUCAGCCUUGUAUAUAUGGCUAAGCAGGUCAACUUCCCAAGCUCAAGCGCAUUAAGAAAUUCUCAGACCUACCUUUUUUUUAUAGAAUUUUUGGGAAGUUUUACAGCAAUUGAAAACAAAUCUUAAAAGGGUCGGGAAAUUAUUUGAAAAAAUAUGGCAGAUUUGGUCACAUAGGUGAUAAAGAGGUGAUAAAGUUGGUACAACGCCCAAAAUUAAACUCUCAAUUAAUUUAAUUGAACAAAUAAUCAUAAAAGAGAUUUUUUUAAUUUAUGAUUUUUAUUUUUUUAUUUAUACUUUUUGAAAAAGAAAAUUCCAGUGAAAUAUGUUCGUGUAGACUGUGUGGCAGGAUGCAGACUAAACAAAGAAAUUGACACGUGCUUGAAGUCCGGCCCUACACAUAGCCCCAUUGGAAAACAGCGGUUUCAUCCUCCGUACUCUUUGGGCGUUAAGUGGGUUCACAAACCAAACAAUGGGCUGCCCCAACACAGCAACACUUAGACUGAGGACAAACUAUGUAGGUGAAUACCCAAUUAUACCCACAUGAAUCAGUGGUCAAUCUUUCAAAUCUAAGGACAGAGUAGUCAUUCCAAUUCAAACCAAACAAAGCUAUGAGAACUGCUGGCCACAGCCUCUGGUUUCCCCAAAACUUUGGGCAGUAUUCCUCAAAGAAUCAAGUGGGCUAGAGUUAAUAACUACGUCCACCAUGGUUAGAUUAUUGGGGGCUAGAGUUAAUAACUUCAUCGACCAUGGUUAGAUUAUUGGUAUCUCGAUGGGAGAAGUUGUUUUGAUGGAAAAACAUUGUAUUUUAUUAUUUUGUAAAUUUUAUCAUCACUCAUAUAUAUUAUUUUUUAUUUAAAAUUAAAUAAAAAAUUAAAAUUCUUAGAAAAUACGAAAAGAAAGUAUAUCACAAUCUUUAUUUUCUAUUCUAAAAUUAAAAAAUAAAAAUAAAAUUAUGAAGAAAAAAGUACAUUCCAACUUACAUUAAUUAAGGGAUGAUAUACUGUGUAAAUAAAAAAUAUAAAAAAUAAUUAAAGGUUAAAUAAAUCACUUAAUAAAUCGGUAGUAUGGGUUGAUGGUUUCAUUAUUAGACUAUAACAAGGAUUUUCUUUUUCUUUUUCUUUUUAAAUGCAUUUCAUGGUGGUGUAGAAUUUUUUUGUAUAAGGGUUUUUAAAUUGUAAUAUAGAUUAUACAUAUAGUUGUGUUUUGUCCUAAAUUCUGACUUCCAAGUUUUCAACAUUAUAUAAAAAUUCCUAAAAUCACCUACUUCGUAGGUUUUAUAACAUUAUAUAAAAAGCCAUGAAUUCACCUAUUAGAAAAAUGUUAUUUGGUGCGCUAUCAUUACCAUGACCUCAAUCUCGUGCAAAGAUACCGAGUGGUUACAAAUAGUAAAAAAUAAAUAAUAAAAACAAAAUAUAUUCAUUAUUAUUAUUAUUAUUUUGUUCUUUUAUCAUCCAUUAUUCACAUCUUAGCAUAUGAUAGAAAAGAUGAUAAAAGAUUAUUUAUGUUAUAUGAUUUUAAGUGAAAUGAUCAAAAUAUUUAAAGAAAAAAUUAAUAAUUCAUGAAGAAUUUUUGGUAAAUUUAUAAAUUUGUAAUAAAUAUUGAUAAAUGAUAAACAAAGUAGUUUUUAAAGUGGUUGCAGCAGUUAAACAUUGUAUCUUAUUAUGAUUUUCCACCCUCAAAACUUAAUAAUAAAAUUUCAUAACAAAUUUUUAUCUAUUUGAAACUUUUGAAAUGUGAAAUCUUUUCUUGGACAUUUUUAUAUAUACAUUUGUGAAUUUUAUCUUUAUUUUUUAUUUAUAAAAUUAAAGGAUAAAAUUAAAAUGUUAAAAAUAAAAGAGAAGUAUAUCCCAACUUGCAUCAAUUAAGAGAAGAUAUAUUAAGCAUGUGAAGAAUGCAAAAAAAAUUAAUGAUAAAAUAAAUCACUUAGUAGAUAGUAUUUAAUGAUUUACAUUAUUAGAUUGUAGCAAUGAGUUAUAUUUUUAUUUUUGUGUAUAGGGGAUUUUAAAUUAUAAUAUAUAUUUUUUUAUUUUUGAGUUAGUUUUCUUUGUUGAUACAUAGUUUUUUUUUUGUCUUGGAUAUUGUGUUAUCAACAGUUUUAAAAGAAAUAAAAAUUAUUUAUCCCACAUCGAUUCAAAACUAAAAAUAUUAUAUAUAUUUAUUAAAACUUUGAUACUCUUAAAAAAUACAAGUACAACCAAUAAGCAAGCAUAGGGAUGGCAACGGGGUGGGUAUGGGACAUGCCACCCCUACCCCAUUUCCAUCCCGGUUAUAUAUUUUUUUGCCCAUCCUUGUCCCAAACUCGGGGCGGGGCGAGUUGGUGUCCCCCUUACCUAUUUACAAAAGAACUGAUAAUCUCAUCUCCGUCCCAAAUGUAUUUUCGGGAAUUAUGCUUUUACAAAACAUAGGUCUCUGAAAUUUCAAUAUAUGUUAUAUGGGUUAUCAUAAACACAUUUAAUCAAGCAUUUGUUGUGCAACAAAACUGCAAAUUACACAUAUGAGAACAAAAUGCACAGAUCUACAAAUAAACAACCCAAAAAAUCUCAAAUCCAUAAACCAAAACCAGAAAAUAUGAAAAACAAGACAUUCUAACAAAGCCUCAAAACAUAGUAUUUAAUGAUUUACAUUAUUAGAUUGUAGCAAUGAGUUAUAUUUUUAUUUUUGUGUAUAGGGGAUUUUAAAUUAUAAUAUAUAUUUUUUUAUUUUUGAGUUAGUUUUCUUUGUUGAUACAUAGUUUUUUUUUUGUCUUGGAUAUUGUGUUAUCAACAGUUUUAAAAGAAAUAAAAAUUAUUUAUCCCACAUCGAUUCAAAACUAAAAAUAUUAUAUAUAUUUAUUAAAACUUUGAUACCCUUAAAAAAUACAAGUACAACCAAUAAGCAAGCAUAGGGAUGGCAACGGGGUGGGUAUGGGACAUGCCACCCCUACCCCAUUUCCAUCUCGGUUAUAUAUUUUUUUGCCCAUCCUUGUCCCAAACUCGGGGCAGGGCGAGUUGGUGUCCCCUUUACAUGUUUACAAAAGAACUGAUAAUCUCAUCCCCGUCCCAAAUGUAUUUUCGGGAAUUAUGCUUUUACAGAACAUAGGUCUCUGAAAUUUCAAUAUACGUUAUAUGGGUUAUCAUAAACACAUUUAAUCAAGCAUUUGUUGUGCAACAAAACUGCAAAUUACACAUAUGAGAACAAAAUGCACAGAUCUACAAAUAAACAACCCAAAAAAUCUCAAAUCCAUAAACCAAAACCAGAAAAUAUGAAAAACAAGACAUUCUAACAAAGCCUCAAAACUUAGGGUUUUCUUACCUGGAAAUGAGGAAUCCAUAGAAACCCUAAUAAUUUGUUGUCUACGAAUUUGGUUUUUGGUUUUUAGAGCAAAAAUUGUGCUUUUAGGGUGAAAUGGGAAGAAGCAAUUUAGGAAUAAAUGAGAAAACGGGAAGAAAUGAGAAAAUGAAAGGCCUCUUACAAGCAAAAGAACCCUGAGCAAUUUAGGAAGAAAUGAGAAAACGGGAAGAAAUGAGAGCGAAAGCCCUCUAAUUCUCUCACGAGCGAAAUAACCCUAAAACUUGAGGAAGAAAUGAUUAUAUACGGAGAACUUUUUGGGUAUUUUGUAAUGAUAUAAGGGUAAAUUGGUAAUUCACAUACGGGACGGGGUAGAAACUGCAAAACCCAUCCCUGCCUUAAACCCGAUUCGGGUUUUUAUAUAUUCCCCAAACCCGUUUUAUACCCGAAUAGAAUAUUCUCAUACCCGUCCCAAUAGGGAUGGGGCGGGUGACCCGGAUUACCCAGAAAAUUGUAGUUCCUAAGCAAGCAUUGAGCUAAAUCCUAAUCUCACAUUCCUGCUCGAAACUUUACACUCACAUAAAAACAACUCACCACUUGACUCGAUGGACUAUUCCGUAACUUCUCACUACCAACAACCAGGCACUAUUCAACCUCUCGCUCACUUAUAAAUUCACUCCCUACCUGCAUAUUCAAAACAUAUCUUACUACUAUUCUACUCUACUAUUCUACUUUUCGUGGUUUCAUAUCUCACUAUUAUUCUACUUUUCGCGGUUUCAUAUCUCACUACUAUUCGCGUGUUCAAAGUGUGCAUAUUCAAAGUGUAUCCCUCCUUGAAUUAAUUGUGAAUUAAUUUAGGCUUCAAAGUGUGUUGCUCUACAACAUCCCUCCUAGUCAGGCCUCAAAGUAAGAACAACAACAUCUACAAUAUCUGCCAUGGCCACACAACCAAGGCAUGUGGUAUGCCUCAUUUUCUCAUGUCCUUUUCCCAUUUUGUUCCCUCUUUUCAUCUCCAUUUUGUUUUCAAUAUUCCCUUACCUUACUCAUAUUCUCUAAAAUUAGAUAAAAUUAUUAAUUUGAUCAUAUUUAUCUAACAUUUUUAAUUAGUACUACUAGUAUCUUAUUUUCAUAAAUCUAAUUGAAUUUCCUACUUAUUUAUUUAUUGUUUUCAUGACAAAAAUUCAUCAGCUUUCAUAUCUUUCCUUACAAUUCUGAGUUCAACUGUCCUUGCGAAAUACCAAUAUGAGAAUGUUUCCCCAUUUGCCCAACACAACAUAGGUAUGCAAAUCUCCUUAUUUGCAUCAUUUAUAUAUUUCAUGAUGGUUGUGGCUUAUGAAAUCCUUGAUUCUAAUGGAACUAUCAAAAUUGAAGAAGAUGGAAGAUAUCUCCUUAUUUUGGGUCAUGUUUAGUUCUUAAGUGGAACAGCAGCUGCAACUUUGUUGAUCCUGAUCUUGAUCCCAUAUUUUGGAUGGUUCUUUCUGAUCAUGUGGACCAUGUUCUUAGUGAAAAUAGCAUGCUAUUGGGAUAAAACAUUUUAUAACUUUGACAUGUUCAAGAAUAAAAAAAAAUGCCAAUGAUAAGGAAUGAGGACAAGAGGAGCAACGACCCCAAGUUUAGAGUAGGUUUGGUCUAUAAGAGGUUAUUAGCAAAAAACAUAUUUUCUUCUUGUACUUUUGAAAGUGUUAUAUAAGUGUCAUAUUUUGAGUAAUGAGAGUAUUUUUUUUUCCUUUUUUCUUUUUCUCUAAUACAUUAUUGUUGAUUAUUCUUCGCUGGAAUACCCACAAGGCUAUUAGAUGUUUCAUUGCAAAUAUGGUUUUAUAUGAUAGCAUUACGAUUGAACUUAUAAAACAUAUUUUCUACAUAUUGUUUAGCUGGGCCUCCCAACUACCUCUCGGUAAUAUCCUCUUAACAUAGGAAGUAUAAACUAAUAGCAAGUGCUAAUCUUUCCCAUUCUUACACAAGAAAGACCCAAGGAGAAGGUAUAUUUAGAAAUUGCAUAUCUAUGUUCCCAAACAAUAGAAAAUUCAAUAUAUGGCACUUCACUCUCUACUUUUCUUUCCCACAUUUUCUCAUAACCCAAAUAUGCUCACCUCUCAUUCUAAGAUCCAACCAUUGAAAAACAAUUACAAAAAUCCUAAUAAAAGAGAUAGAUCAUACUACAAUUACACUUUCUUACAAGAAAUUGAAGUGUAGAAGGUAUAACAAUUGAGUGAAACAAAUAAAAACCAACCUCCUUUAACACACCUGCUAAUGAAAUACUUGUAGAGACACUAUAAAUCCCUCCAGACUCCAAAAGAUACUGAUCAACAGCCUCGGCACUUGCAGCGACGAGACCAAUCCUUGGUACGAUAUAAUGCACGAACUCGACACGGAAUCGGUAAGACUCAGUUAGAUUACAGAAAAAUUUUCAAACAUUCUUUUUUUCUUUCCAAUCAUAAUAAAACAUUAGAAUAUUUUCCAAAAGCAAACACCCAUGAUUUUGAAAUUGGAGCUUUUAAACCAGAAGAUCAAAGAAGACGAAGAAGAAAAAACCCAACCCCUGACCCGUUCAGAAAUAAGAGGAGAAACCACCGAAUGAUGAAGGCAUGAUUUAGGAUUUACUUACUUGAUUUUCCUAAAAAUCGAGAAUCACCAGAGGGUGGAGGUUUGGUGUCGGCGGUGGUAACUUGUCAAGUGGACUAAAUCUUGCAACGAGGACGUCAGCCAGGCAACCCUCACAGUCAGAUUGCUCCCCCUCCGGGGUCUUUCAUAGUUGUAAAUUUGCAAUUGCAAGUGGUGUCAUUUGUCGGCGGUCUUGACAGCAAAGGUGGUAUGCAAGGUGUGGGAGAUUGGGAGCCCUAAUUGGUAAAGUAAAAAAUGCAUUUUAUAUGGAUUUACAUUGAUGAUAUGAGAUAGGAUUUGAUGGUAACUUAUUAAAUUAAAUUAAAUGAUUGAGUCUAAAAUGAUAUGGAUGGUAUGAGAUAGGAUUUAAUGAAAAAUUAAAUGUAUUUAUAUGGCAGAUUGAGAAUUAAAUCUCCAAUUCUUAGUAUUAUUAUAAAUAGCUUUGAGUUAAAUGUGAAAUUUUUUUGUUUUAUUAAUUUUUUAAGCUUAUUUAAUUUCUAUCUAUUUUUUUUAUAUAAUUUACAUAACAUUUUUAUAAUUUUAUGAAAUUUCUAAUUAUCUUAUUUUGCGUAAUGCUUGAUACUGAAUCGAGAUGUCAAGACCAACAUGUCUCGGGAUCAUCUGAGUCAAUGAUCGAUAUCGCGACUUUGAACCAUACUCGUCUCCAAUCCCUCAACAAUGAUGAAAAAUGAGGCCAACGUAGUUGCCUUUUUUAUUAUUAUCAGUUAAAAAUAAUGAAUCUAAAUUCAUGUAUUAUCAAGAAUAAAUAAGUUUAUAUUUAUAAAUUUUUAUUAUAAAUUUAUAUUUACACAUAUCCUUGAUUUUCCUCAAGGUUUUAUUUUUAAUUGAUUACAAAGCAUUAGUACUUAUUUAAUUUAAAAUGUAUUAAAUAAAUAUUAAUAUUAUAUAAAUAAAUAAAAGUUGAAUUUGAAUAAAAAAUUUAUAUAUAUAUAUCAUAUUCUUCAUGAAUAUGAAUCUAUUAUUAAAGAUACAUGGUAAUAAGUGUUAAUAUUAUAUAAUCAAAUGAGAGAGUACAAAAAUGUUCUAUUAUUAGCAAUACAUUAUUAUAAUAAUAAGAUACUUAAUAUAAUGUAAAUAAAUAAAAGUCGUCAUAAAUUUAAAUUUGAAUUUAUAUUUUAAAACCCAUCACAUUUAUUUUUAUUUUUUUAAAAUUUUAAGAAUUUUUUCUCCACUUCAAAUAGCAAUAAUAGUGUUUAUUCAUACUAAUUAUACUUAAAAUUGAUGAAAAUUAUGAAAAAAAAAACCCAUACCCUUCAAAUUUAUAUUUGUUUUAAUUUUAAAUUUUUUUUCUCUACUUCAAGUAAUAAUAAUAAUAAUGUUUAUUCAUACUAAUAACAAUAAAAUUAAUGAAAAUGAUGAAAAAUAAAAAAUUGUUUGGUUUCAACAUUGUUUAUUCAAAAUAAUUUUUUUUAUUUGCACUUUCCUACUAGGCCAAACUAAGAAUGACUCAGACCAGUAUGGUCCGUUUAAAUGCCUAUCUUUUUAUUAUAAGCUCACUAAGCUGCAUCUCUCAAGACUCUAGUGAAACACAAUCUGGCCCAAAUAAAUUUUCCGAUUCAAUCCACUUCCUACAAUUCCGCCAAAAAGACCUAAUUUCUCAUUGAAAAAAUGGUUAAAAAUAAGAAUAGCAAGAGAAUCAAGUUAUGGCUCAAAAAAGGUUUUUUUUUUUUCUUAAAAAAAAAAAAAAAAACUAUCUAAACCUUAAAAAAAUUGAAAAUAAGUAAAACAUAAGAUAAGUUACAAACUAAAUGCACCAAAAGUAAAUUCAAAAAUGGAAUAGCUGGUUAGGGACAAUACUAUAAACAAGUAGGCUUAUCAAUUGUUGAAUCCAUAGAAUCUGUGGUCUCCCUAUGCAUUAUGAAUUUUUUCUUUGCUUCAAAUAAUAAUAAUAAUAAUAAUAAUAAUGUUUAUUCAUACUAAUAAACAAUUCUUCAUAAUCAUAACCUCCUAAUUUCCAAUAAUUAUAAUUGAAAUUAUUUUAAAUAAACAAUGUUGAAACCAAACAAUGUUUCAACAUAAUAGGAAAGUGCAAAUAAAAAUACCCCAUUACAAAUACCUUCCAAAAUUUAUUUAAAAUUCAUAGAUUUUUUUUUUUACUUUAAAUAUCAAAAAAAUUAUUGAUUCAUAAUAAUUUCACUUAGAAUUCAUAAAAAAAUAUGAGGAAAAAAAAUUAAAAUAAAAAAUUUUAAGAUCCCUACCCUUCCCAUUUAAUUUUAACAAUUUUUUUCUGAGCAUUGAUUUGUUGAUCGGUUAUCAAGGGCCACUCAUUUGCUUUGUUGGAUCUAACUCUCUAUAAGCAUGCUUUGUUUUGGCUUCGUUUUUUUUAUCUUUGCUUUCUCUUGUAAAUAUCUGAUGCAUUGUUCCCUCUUUGAACUUGAGAUAUAAAAACCAUGCUCUUGUUCCUUGUGGAUUCCACCUGCUCCUAGCUCUUUGAUAAUCCAUGAAAUAGAGCUAAGUUCAUACUCUAUUUUUAUGUUUUUAUUAUUCUUUGUUUGUUGUUGAUGGUGGGAUGAUAUUAUCAAUGGCCAAGUUGCUGGGAUUGGAGGAGUGAGGUUAUGGGGAAGUGAACUUAAUGGAGGAUUUCUGUGAUCAUAUCUAUGCUCCAAUCUAUUGGUUCCAAAUGUUGGUCACGAGACUGCAUUGAAGUUUUGGUAUUUGGGAUCACUUUGCCAUCUGGGUUUAGUAAGCAACACAGUGGCAAUAAAGAUGCAUUGGUGUUAUUAAUUUGGGUGAAUAAGUUGGUUGUAUGAAUUGUGAAAGUUCAGGUUGUGCUUUGAGGAGAGUAUAUCUUGCAUCCUACUAUUUUAAUUAUUAAUUUUGGAUGUUGAAAUAUGAUGUGAUUGCACUUCAUAUGCAUCAUGGUUGUGUGAGGAAAAAGAAAUAUUAAAGAAAUGGUUGUGUGAAAUGGAAAUAAGAAUGAAAAGACCCUGGAUAGGGCAAAAAUGAAAAGAAAAGAAAAAAAAAAUGAAAUGAUCCUAGAGAGGGCGAAUUAAGAAGGAAGUGAGAUCUCUAAGCUGAAAGACCCAAAAGUUUACUUCGAGAAGACUCCGAAUGGGGAGUAUAUUUAGGUAUAGACGUGUAUCCUUUGGUGAAAGCUUGAGAACCACAGUGCAUUGUGUGAUUGCGUGUAACCAUUUGCAUCAUAAUUGUAUUUGGAAGAAGGAUUUGUAUUAUUUAUCAAGUGUAUGUUUGAAUAUAUUAUUCAAAACUAAAAUGACUUGUUUAUUUUGUAAAUUUAGAAUUGUUGAUAUACUAAACAUAUGAUUGAAUAAGGAAAAUGAUAAUUUUGAUUGUUUUAAAUUUGUAUGGUUGGGGUUUCUUUUAGUGUAUAUAUUGUAAAUGUAAUAUUAUAUCUUGACAUAUGGUUGUGUUAUUGACUUAGAAUUUCUAACCUAUUUGGGUGUAAAACACCCUACUAAGCAACGUGAAAAUGCUCACCCCUUUAUUUUCUAAAAUUUUUAGAUGCAGAUAUAGUUUCAGAGGGGCCGCAAGAAGUUCAAGAAGCGUUCUAGAAAGCAAAAGAACUAUAAUAAUAGUUGUUUUUAAAUUUAUAUUUAUCCUUUUACAUGUACCAAUUUGAAUUAUAUGGGCUUUUGUAUGUUAAAUUAUAUUUUGUUAGAUUGUAAAACAUUUUUGGAAAUAUUUUUUUUGACUUAGAGAUUAUUAUAAAUAUUUGAGCUUUUGGACAGAAAGAUGACUGGUGGAUUUAUUAUACUUGUGAAUAAGAGAUAGUGUGAUGGUUGGUUUUAGAAAAAUAAAAUAUUAUAAUAAAUCUUAACUUAAUAAAUUUAUUUAAGAUUAGACGUUUUAUUAUUUAAAAAAAAAAAGUUUCAGAGUUUUUUGAUUGAUUGUCAGUGUGGAUAGGAGUAAUCCUUAGGGUCAAACCCUUGGCCGACUAUGUAGGUGAAUACCCAAUUAUACCCACAUGAAUCAGCCGUCAAUCUUACAAAUCCAAGGGCAAAGUAGUCAUUCCAAUUCAAACAAAACCAAGCCAUGAUUCAUGAAAACUGCUGGCCACAGCUCCUGGUUUUUCCCAAACUUUGGGCACCAAAUCCAAACCCAUCUCUUGCUAUAUAACCAACCCACCUUCACCUCAUCUUCUUCAUCACAACACAACUACCCUGAUUUACAGAGAGAUUUUCUAUAUCCAUUCACUACUCAGAAUCACCUCUUUCUAUUGUUGAUUGUUGUUUGGGUUUCGGAGAAAGAAAAUUAAGAAGAUGAGUCAUGUGGGGAAAGCUUGGUUAGUGGCAGCAAGUGUGGGAGCAGUGGAGGCACUCAAGGAUCAGGGCUUCUGCAGAUGGAACUACACUCUGAGGUCUAUUCACCAGCAUGCCAAGACCAACCUCAGGUCCUUUGCUCAGGCCAAGAAGCUCUCUUCUUCCUCUUCCGCCAUGGUUUCCAGCAGAGUGAGAGAGGAGAAGGCCAAGCAGUCAGAGGAGUCUCUGAGGACUGUCAUGUACUUGAGCUGCUGGGGACCCAACUGAAGAAGAAGAUAUGAAGAUGGAUGAUCAUCAGCCUGCUCUUGAAGCAUCCAGGGAGGGCAUAUUCCAAGAAAGUAACGGAAAAUUGAGAUGAAGAAACUGCAGUGAAGCAAUUUCAUGGAAUUUUUGCUUGGAGACUCACGAAUUACAACCAAUUGCUCAGGGUUGGGAAAAUUGGAAUUGGCGUAAAUUGUGACUGGGUCUUUGUAAAACCCACAUCAUUUAGCUAGAAAAGCUUUGAAAAUACAUUUUAAUUUAAUUUAUAAUUUCUAUGUUAGAAUAUUAGACCCAAUUCCUAAAAAGCUUGUCAGCCUUGUAUAUAUGGCUAAGCAGGUCAACUUCCCAAGCUCAAGCGCAUUAAGAAAUUCUCAAACCUACCUUUUUUUUAUAGGAUUUUUGGGAAGUUUUACAGCAAUUGAAAACAAAUCUUAAAAGGGUCGGGAAAUUAUUUGAAAAAAUAUGGCAGAUUUGGUCACAUAGGGGAUAAAGAGGUGAUAAAGUUGGUACAACGCCCAAAAUUAAACUCUCAAUUAAUUUAAUUGAACAAAUAAUCAUAAAAGAGAUUUUUUUAAUUUAUGAUUUUUAUUUUUUUAUUUAUACUUUUUGAAAAAGAAAAUUCCAGUGAAAUAUGUUCGUGUAGACUGUGUGGCAGGAUGCAGACUAAACAAAGAAAUUGACACGUGCUUGAAGUCCGGCCCUACACAUAGCCCCAUUGGAAAACAGCGGUUUCAUCCUCCGUACUCUUUGGGCGUUAAGUGGGUUCACAAACCAAACAAUGGGCUGCCCCAACACAGCAACACUUAGACUGAGGACAAACUAUGUAGGUGAAUACCCAAUUAUACCCACAUGAAUCAGUGGUCAAUCUUUCAAAUAUAAGGACAGAGUAGUCAUUCCAAUUCAAAUCAAACAAAGUUAUGAGAACUGCUGGCCACAGCCUCUGGUUUCCCCAAAACUUUGGGCACUAUUCCUCAAAGAAUCAAGUGGGCUAGAGUUAAUAACUUCGUCCACCAUGGUUAGAUUACUGGGGGCUAGAGUUAAUAACUUCAUCCACCAUGGUUAGAUUAUUGGUAUCUCGAUGGGAGAAGUUGUUUUGACGGUAAAACAUUGUAUUUUAUUAUUUUGUAAAUUUUAUCAUCACUCAUAUAUAUUAUUUUUUAUUUAAAAUUAAAUAAAAAAUUAAAAUUCUUAGAAAAUGCGAAACAAAAGUAUAUCACAACUUAUAUUAAUUAAACGUCUUUAUUUUCUAUUCUAAAAUUAAAAAACAAAAUUAAAAUUAUCAAGAAAAAAGUACAUUCCAACUUACAUUAAUCAAGGGAUGAUAUACUGUACAAAUAAAAAAUAAUAAAAAUAAUUAAAGGUUAAAUAAAUCGCUUAAUAAAUUGAUAGUAUGGGUUGAUGGUUUCAUUAUAAGACCAUAACAAGGAUUUUCUUUUUCUUUUUCUUUUUAAAUGCAUUUCACGGUGGUGUAGAAUUUUUUUGUAUAAGGGUUUUUAAAUUAUAAUAUUGAUUAUAUAUAUAGGUGUGUUUUGUCCUAAAUUCCGAUUUCCAAGUUUCCAACAUUAUAUAAAAAUCCCUAAAAUCAUCUACUUCGUAAGUUUUCUAACAUUAUAUAAAAAGCCCUGAAUUCACUUAUUAGGAAAAUGCUAUUUGGUGCACUACCAUCACCAUGACCUCAACCUCGUGUAAAGAUAUCAAGUGGUUACUAAUAAUAAAAAAUAAAUAAUAAAAACAAAAUGUAUUCAUUAUUAUUAUUAUUAUUAUUUUGUACUUUUACCAUCCAUUGUUCACAUCUUAGCAUAUGGUAGAAAAGAUGAUAAAUGAUUAUUUAUGUCAUAAUUUUUAAGUGAAGUGAUCAAAAUAUUUAAAGAAAAAAUUAAUAAUUGAUGAAUAAUUUUUGGUAAAUUUAUAAAUUUGUAAUAAAUAUUAAUAAAUGAUAAACAAAGUAGUUUUUAAAGCGGUUGUAGUAGUUAAACAUUAUAUCUCAUUAUGAUUUUCCACCUUCAAAACUUAAUAAUAAAAUUUCAUAACAAAUUUUUAUCUAUUUAAAACUUUUGAAAUGUGAAAUCUUUUCUUGGACAUCUUUAUAUAUACAUUUGUGAAUUUUCUCUUUAUUUGCUAUUUAUAAAAUUAAAGGAUAAAGUUAAAAUGUUAAAAAUAAAAGAGAAGUAUAUCCCAACUUACAUCAAUUAAGAGAAGAUAUAUUAAGCACAUGAAGAAUGCAAAAAAAAAUUAAUGAUAAAAUAAAUCACUUAUUAGUUAGUAUUUAAUGAUUUACAUUAUUAGAUUGUAGCGAUGAGUUAUAUUUUUAUUUUUGUGUAUAGGUGAUUUUAAAUUAUAAUAUUUUUUAUUUUAUUUUUGAGUUAGUUUUCUUUGUUGAUACAUAGGUUUUUUUUUUUUUUUUUGUCUUGGAUAUUGUGUUAUCUACAGUUUUAAAAGAAAUAAAAAUUAUUUAUCCCACAUUGAUUCAAAACUAAAAAUAUUAUAUAUAUAUUUGUUAAAACUUUGAUACCCUUAAAAAAUACAAGUACAACCAAUAAGCAGGCAUAGGGAUGGCAACGGGGUAGGUAUGGGACGGGCCACCCCUACCCCAUUUCCAUCCCGGUUAUAUAUUUUUUUUUCCAUCCCCGUCCCAAACCCAGGGCGGGGCGAGUUGGUGUCUCCUAUGCCCAUUUACAAAAGAGCUGAUAAUCUCAUCCCCAUCCCAAAUGUAUUUUCGGGAAUUAUGCUUUUACAGAACAUGGGUCUCUGAAAUUUCAAUAAACGUUAUAUGGGUUAUCAUAAACACAUUUAAUCAAGCAUUUGUUGUGCAACAAAACUGCAAACUGCACACAUGAGAACAAAAUGCACAGAUCUACAAAUAAACAACCCAAAAAAUCUCAAAUCCAUCAACCAAACCAGAAAAUAUGAAAAACAAGACAUUUCUAACAAAGCCUCAAAACUUAGGGUUUUCUUACCUGGAAAUGAGGAAUCCAUAGAAACCCUAAUAAUUUGUUGUCUACGAAUUUGGUAUUUUGGUUUUCAAAGCAAAAAAUGUGCUUUUAGGGUGAAACGGGAAGAAACAAUUUAGGAAUAAAUGAGAAAACGAGAAGAAAUGAGAAAACAAAAGCCCUAUUACGAGCAAAAGAACCCUGAGCAAUUUAGGAAGAAAUGAGAAAACGGGAAGAAAUGAGAAAACAAAAAGCCUCUUACGAGCAAAAGAAUCCUAAGCAAUUUAGGAAGAAAUGAGAAAACUAGAAGAAAUGAGAAUGAAAGCCCUCUGAGAGCGAAAACCCUCUAAGAGUGAAAGCCCUCUGACUCUCUCACGAGUGAAAUAACCCUAAAAUUUGAGGAAGAAAUGAUUAUAUAUGGAGGACUUUUUGGGUAUUUUGUAAUGACAUAAGGGUAAAUCGGUAAUUCACAUACGGGAUGGGGCGGAAACUGCAAAACCCAUCCCUGCCCUGAACCCGAUUUGGGUUUUUAUAUAUUCCCCAAACCCGUUCUAUACCCGAAUAAAAUAUUCCCAUACCCGUCCCAAUAGGGGCGGGUGACCCGAAUUACUCGGAAAAUUACCAUUCCUAAGCAAGCAUUGAGCUAAAUCCUAAUCUCACAUUCUUGCUCGAAACUUUACACUCAAAUAAAAACAAUUCACCACUUGACUCGAGGGACUAUUCCGUAACUUCUCACUACCAACAACCAGGCACUAUUCGACCUCUCGCUCGCUUAUAAAUUCACUCCCUACUUGCAUAUUCAAAGCGUAUCUCACUACCAUUCUACUCUACUAUUCUACUUUUCGCGGUUUCAUAUCUCACUACUAUUCGCGUGUUCAAAGUGUGCAUAUUCAAAGUGUAUCCCUCCUUGAAUUAAUUGUGAAUUAAUUUAGGCUUCAAAGUGUGUUGCUCUACAAUAUCCUUCCUAGUCAGGCUUCAAAGUAAGAGCAACAACAUCUACAAUAUCUACCAUGGCCACACAACCAAGGUAUGCGGUAUGCCGCCUUUUCUCAUGUCCUUUUCCCAUUUUGUUCCCUCUUUUCAUCUCCAUUUUGUUUUCAAUAUUCUCUUACCUUACUCAUAUUCUCUAAAAUUAGAUAAAAUUAUUAAUUUGAUCAUAUUUAUCUAACAUUUUUAAUUAGUACUACUAGUAUCUUAUUUUCAUAAAUCUAAUUGAAUUUUCUACUUAUUUAUUUAUUGUUUUCAUGACAGAACUUCACCAGCUUUCAUAUCUUUCCUUACAAUUUUGAGUUCAGUUGUCCUUGCGAAGUACCAAUAUGAGAAUGUUUCCCCAUUUUCCCAACACAACAUAGGUAUGCAAAUCUCCUUAUUUGCAUCAUUUAUAUAUUUCAUGAUGGUUGUGGUUUAUGAAAUCCUUGAUUCUGAUGGAACUGUCAAAGUUGAAGAAGAUGGAAGAUAUCUCCUUAUUUUGGGCCUGUUCGGUUCUUAAGUGGAACAGCAGCUGCAACUUUGUUGAUCCUGAUCUUGAUCCCAUAUCUUGGAUGGUUCCUUUUGGUCAUGUAGACCAUGUUCUUAGUGAAAAUAGCAUGCUAUUGGGAUAAAACAUUUUAUAACUUUGACAUGUUCAAGAAUAAAAAAAAAUGCCAAUGAUAGGGAAGGAAGACAAGAGGAGCAGCGACGCCAAGUUUAGAGUAGGUUUGGUCCAACAGAGGUUAUUAGCAAAAAACAUAUUUUCUUCUUGUACUUUCGAAAGUGUUAUAUAAGUGUUAUAUUUUGAGUAAUGAGAGUAUUUUUUUCCUUUUUUCUUUUUCUCUAAUACAUUAUUGGUGAUUAUUCUUCAUCGGAAUACCCACAAGGUUAUUAGAUGUUUAAUUGCAAAUAUGGUUUUAUAUGAUAGCAUUAUGAUUGAACUAAUAAAACAUAUUUUUUUGCAUAUUGUUUAGCUGGACUUCCCAACUACCUCUGGGUAAUAUCCUUUUAACAUAGGAAGUAUAAACUAAUAGCAAGUGCUAAUCUUUCCCAUUCUUACACAAGAAAGAACUAAGGAAAAAGGUAUACUUAGAAGUUGCAUUUCUAUGUUCCCAAACAAUAGAAAAUUCAAUAUAUGGCACUUCACUCUCUACUUUUCUUUCCCACCUUUUCUCAUAACCCAAAUAUGCUCACCUCUCAUUCCAAGAUCCAACCAAAAUUGAAAAACAAUUACAAAAAUCCUAGUAGAAGAGACAGAUCAUACUACAAUUACACUUUCUUACAAGAAAUUGAAGUGCAAAAGGAAUAACAAUUGAGUGAAACAAAUAAAACCAACCCCCUUUACCACACCUACUAAUGAAAUACUUGCAGAGACACUUUAAAUUUCUCCAGACUCCAAGAGAUACUGAUCAACAGCCUCGACACCUGCAGUGAUGAGACCAACACUUGAUACGAUAUAAUGCACAAACUCGACACGGAAUUGGUAAGACUUGGUUAGAUUACAGAAAAAUUUUCAAACAUUAUAUUUUUCUUUCCAAUCACAACAAAACAUCAAAAUAUUUUCAAAAAUAAAAAUUAGAGAUUCCCUCUUCAAAAGAAGACACCCAUGAUUCUGAAAUUGGAGCUUUUAACCCAGAAGAUCAAAGAAGACAAAGAAGAAAAAACCCAACCCCUAACCCAUUCGGAAAUAAGAGGAGAAACCAUCAAAGAAUGAGGGCAUGAGUUAGGAUUUACUUACCUGAUUUUCCUAAAAAUCGAGAAUCACCAAAGGUGGAGGUUUGGUGUCGGCGGUGGUAACUCGUCAAGUGGACUGAAUCUUACAAUGACGACGUCGGCUAGGCAACCCCCUCACAGUCAGAUUGCUCUCCCUCCGGGGUCUUGCAUAGUUGCAAAUUUGCAAUUGCAGGUGGUGUCAUCUAUCGGCGGUCUUGACAGCAACGGUGGUGUGCGAGGUGUGGGAGAUUGGGAGUCCAAAUUGGUAAAGUAACAAAUGCAUUUUAUAUGGAUUUACGUUGAUGAUAUGAGAUAGGAUUUGAUGGUAACAUAUUAAAUUAAAUUAAACGAUUGAGUCCAAAAUGAUACGGAUGGUAUGAGAUGGGAUUUAAUGAAAAAUUAAAUGUAUUUAUAUGGAAAAUUGAGAAUUAAAUCCCCAAUUCUUAGUAUUAUUAUAAAUAGGUGAAAAAAUUUUGUUUUAUUAAAUUUUUAAGCUUAUUUAAUUUCUAUAUAUUUUUUUAUAUAUAAUUUACAUAACAUUUUUAUAAUUUUUUGAAAAUUUUAAUUAUCUUAUUUUGCGUAUUGCUUGAUAUUGAAUCAAAAUGUCGAGACCAACAUAUCUCGGGAUCAUUUGAGUCAAUGAUCGAUAUCACAACUUUGAACCAUGCUCGUCUCCAAUCCCUCAACAAUGAUGAAAAAUGAGGGCAACACAAUUACCUUUUUUAUUAUUAUCAGUUCAAAAUAAUACGUGUAUUAUAAUAUAAUUUUUAAAAAAUAUUUUACAAAAAAAUAUAUGUGGACCCCGCAUUUAGGCUCAUGCACUUCCACUCGAUGGCGAGCUCGAUUUUAUUUUGAAAAUGAUUUUAUUUAUUAGAAAAUGACUUGGAGUCGCUACUUAUUUUUGUUUUAUUUUUAAAGGGUAAACAAAAUAAGAAAGAAAACCCUAAGUGUGACUCCUUAUUUUGGAAAAGGUGGUCUGUGAAAAAUGGGAUCGAGUUCGGGGGCUAGGUUACUUAUCGGGAAGGUACGGUAAAGACCGUAGCACCCCUUUAACUCCCCAAAGUCGGGUCUUUACUAAUAAAAUGAAGUUGACGCGACAAUCAAUAAUAAAAACAAUGAAUAUCGACAUGAUCACAUAUUGAAAACCAAAACAUAUAAGGAUGAUGGUUAGAGUGAGAAAAAAUGCGUACCUAAUCAGCAAGCGGCAACGCGCUAUCAUAAAAUGAGGUUAGUGCACAAAUAAUGGACAUAAAACAUAGCUCACAUGCCACUGAAUCGAGUACAAAAUCAUCAGAUAUCACAAUUAAGUCAAAUUUAUUUUUCGAGGAAACAAUCAUUGAUGUUGGGCCUCCACCAAAACCCAAUUUAUUCCUGCAUGAAUUAAUUCCGUAAAUUCCAUCACUUGGAAUUAUAGAAUUUAAUUCACACUUAUUUUUAAAACGUUUUAGAAUUCAUGGAAGUUAUGGAAAUCCAUGCCGAAGAAAAUGACAACAAAAUUUUAUUAAAAAUGUGAUUUUUGGGACUUGAAAGCUCUAAGAAUGAAGAAUCUGGAAAAUAAUGCGAAAAAAAUGAGAUUUGGAAAAAAAUAUUUUUUUAAACCAAGAAUGGUGAAAAUGAGAAGAGAAAAAAAAAGUGACACGUGGCAUAAGGGUGGCCAUGCACCAUUUCAAACAAAUCUAACCCCACUUGCUUUUAUUUGAUCCUGAUCUUGAUCCCAUAUUUUGGAUGGUUCCUUCUGGUCAUGUGGACUUCUUAGUGAAAAUAGCAUGCUAUUGGGAUAAAACAUUUUAUAACUUUGACAUGUUUAAGAAUAAAAAAAAUGUCAAUGAUAGGGAAGGAGGACAAGAGGUGUAGCGACGCCAAGUUUAGAGUAGGUUUAGUCCAAUAGAGGUUAUUAGCAAAAAAACAUAUUUUCUUCUUGUACUUUUGAAAGUGUUCUAUUUUGAAUAAUGAGAGUAUUUUUUUUCCUUUUUUUUUUCUCUAAUACAUUAUUGGUGAAUAAGUGUUCUAUUUUGAAUAAUGAGAGUAUUUUUUUUCCUUUUUUUUUUUUCUCUAAUACAUUAUUGGUGAAUAAGUGUUCUAUUUUGAAUAAUGAGAGUAUUUUUUUUUCUUUUUUUUUUCUCUAAUACAUUAUUGGUGAUUAUUCUUCGCGGAAAUACCCACAAGGCUAUUAGAUGUUUCAUUGCAAAUAUGGUUUUACAUGAUAGCAUUACGAUUGAACUAAUAAAACAUAUUUUCUACAUAUUGUUUAGCUGGACCUCCCAACUACCUCUGGAUAAUAUCCUCUUAACAUAGGAAGUAUAAACUAAUAGCAAGUGCUAAUCUUUCCCAUUCUUACACAAGAAAGAACCAAGGAAAAGGUAUACUUAGAAGUUGCAUUUUUAUGUUCCUAAACAAUAGAAAAUUCAAUAUAUGGCACUUCACUCUCUACUUUUCUUUCCCACCUUUUCUCAUAACCCAAAUAUGCUCACCUCUCAUUCCAAGAUCCAACCAAAAUUGAAAAACAAUUACUAUUACAAUUACACUUUCUUUCAAGAAAUUGAAGUGUAGAAGGUAUAAUAAUUGAGUGAAACAAAUAAAAACCAACCUCCUUUAACACACCUGCUAAUGAAAUACUUGUAGAAACACUUUAAAUUUCUCCAGACUCCAAGAGAUACUGAUCAACAGCCUCGGCACCUACAGCAAUGAGACCAACACCUGAUACGAUAUAAUGCACAAACUUGGCAUGGAAUCGGUAAGACUCGGUUAGAUUAUAGAAAAAUUUUCAAACAUUCUCUUUUUCUUUCCAAUCAUAAUAAAACAUCAUAAUAUUUUCAAAAAUAAAAAUCAGAGAUUCCUCUUUCAAAAGCAAACACCCAUGAUUCUGAAAUUGGAGCUUUCAACCCAGAAGAUCAAAGAAGACGAAGAAGAAAAAACCCAACCCUUAACUCGUUCGGAAAUCAGAGGAGAAACCACCGAAGGAUGAGGGCAAGAUUUAGGAUUUACUUACCGAUUUUCCUAAAAAUCAAGAAUCAUCAGAGGGUGGAGGUUUGGUGUCGGCGGUGGUAACUCGUCAAGUGGACUGAAUCUUACAACGGCGAGGUCGGCUAGGCAACCCCCUCACAGUCAGAUUGCUCCCCCUCUAGGGUCUUGCAUAGUUGCAAAUUUGCAAUUGCAGGUGGUGUCAUCUAUCGGCGGUCUUGACAACAACGGUGGUGUGCGAGGUGUGGGAGAUUGGGAGCCCAAAUUGGUAAAGUAAAAAAUGCAUUUUAUAUGGAUUUACAUUGAUGAUAUGAGAUAGGAUUUGAUGGUAACAUAUUAAAUUAAAUUAAAUGAUUGAGUCCAAAAUGAUAUGGAUGGUAUGAGAUGGGAUUUAAUGAAAAAUUAAAUGUAUUUAUAUGACAGAUUAAGAAUUAAAUCCCCAAUUCUUAGUAUUAUUAUAAAUAGGUGAAAUUUUUUUGUUUUAUUAAAAUUUUAAGCUUAUUUAAUUUCUAUAUAUAAUUUACGUAAUAUUUUUAUAAUUUUUUGAAAUUUCUAAUUAUCUUAUUUUGCGUAUUACUUGAUACCGAAUCAAGAUGUCAAGACCAGCAUAUCUCGGGAUCAUCUGAAUCAAUGAUCGAUAUCGCGACAUUGAACCAUACUCAUCUCCAAUCCCUCAAUAGUGAUGAAAAAUGAGGCCAACGCAGUUGCCUUUUUUAUUAUUAUAAGUUAAAAAUAGUCAUGUAUUAUAAUAUAAUUUUAAAAAAAUAUUUUUACAAAAAAAAUACAAUAAAGAAAAUUUUAAAUAAAAGAGUUUACAAUAACUUUCUAUAUUAAUAAAUUAAUAAUGAAUCUAUAUCCAUGUAUUAUCGAGAAUAAAUAAGUUUAUAUUUAUAUAUUUUUAUUAUAAAUUUAUAUUGACACAUAUCCUUGAUUUCCCUCAAGGUUUUAUUUUUAAUUGAUUACAAAGCAUUAGUACUUGUUUAAUAAAAAAUGUAUUAAAUAAAUAUUAAUAUUAUAUAAAUAAAUAAAAGUUGAAUUUGAAUAAAACUUAUAUAUAUAUAUCAUAUUCAACAUGAAUAUGAAUCUAUUAUUAAAGAUACAUGGUAAUAAGUGUUAAUAUUAUAUAAUCAAAUGAGAGAGUACAAAAAUGUUCUAUUAUUAUAAUAAUAAGAUAUUUAAUAUCAUGCAAAUAAAUAAAAGUCACCAUAAAUUUAAAUUUGAAUUUAUAUUUUUAAACCCUUCAAAUUUUUAUUUUUAUUUUUAAAUUUUAAGAAUUUUUUCUCCACUUCAAAUAGCAAUAAUAGUGUUUAUUCAUACUAGUUAUACUUAAAAUUGAUGAAAAUUAUGAAAAAAAAAAAAGAAAUAAAAACCCAUACCCUUCAAAUUUGCAUUUGUUUUAAUUUUAAGAUUUUUUUUCUCUACUUCAAGUAAUAAUAAUAAUAAUGUUUAUUCAUACUAAUAACAAUAAAAUUAAUGAAAAUGAUGAAAAAUAAAAAAUAAAUAGUAAAAACUUCAAAUUUGUAAUAAUAAUAAUGUUUAUUCAUACUAAUAAACAAUUCUUCAUAAUCAUAACCUACUAAUUUCCAACAAUUAUAAUUGAAAUUAUUUUGAAUAAACAAUGUAAUUUGUAUUUGAAGUUGAAAAAAAUUGUGAAAAUUAAAUGGGAAGGGUAGGGUUUUAAUUUUAUUUUAUUUUUUUUACUUUUUACCUCAUAAAUUUUUUAUUUUUUUAUUUUUAUUUAUUUAUGAAUUCUAAGUGAAAUUAUUAUGAAUCAACAAUUUUAUUGAUAUUUAAAGUUAAAAAAAAUCUAUGAAUUUUAAAUAAAUUUUGGAAGGUAUUUGUAAUGGGGUAUUUUUAUUUGCACUUUCCUAUUAUGUUGAAACAUUGUUUGGUUUCAAAAUUGUUUAUUCAAAAUAAUUUCAAUUAUUAUUAUUGGAAAUUAGGAGGUUAUGAUUAUGAAGAAUUGUUUAUUAGUAUGAAUAAACAUUAUUAUUAUUAUUAUUAUUAUUAUUAUUAUUAUUUGAAGUAGAGAAAAAAUUCAUAAUGCAUAGGGAGAUCACAGAUUCUAUGGAUUCAACAAUUGAUAAGCCUACUUGUUUAUAUUAUUGUCCUUAACCAGCUAUCCCAUUUUUUAAUUUACUUUUGGUGCAUUUAGUUUGUAACUUAUCUUAUGUUUUACUUAUUUUCAAUUUUUUAAGGUUUAGAUAGUUUUUUUUUUCUAAAAAAAAAAAAAAACCUCUUUUGAGCCAUAACUUGAUUCUCUUGCUAUUCUUAUUUUUAACCAUUUUUUCAAUGAGAAAUUAGGUCUUUUGGCGGAAUUGUGGGAAGUGGAUUGAAUCGGGAAAUUUAUUUGGUCCAGAUUGUGUUUCACUAGAGUCCUAAGAGAUGCAGCUAAGUGAGCUUAUAAUAAAAAGGUAGGCAUGUAAACGAACCAUGCUAGUCCGGGCCAUUCUUAGCUUGGCCUAGUGGGCCUUCAAAAUUGCUCCAACAUGAAUUUCAACGUGAACUUCAGUUUUUAAAAUUAAUAAUUAUACAUUUGUUUUAACUAUUUAUAACAAAUAUUAUCUUUGAAAAGUAAAUUUCAAUUAAUUUUUAUAUUUAAAUAAAAAUUAUUAUUAUUUUAAUUAUUUGUAUCCAAAUCAUACCCGAUAUAUUUGAUUUAUCUUACAAUGUUUCAACAUAAUAGGAAAGUGCAAAUAAAAAUACCCCAUUACAAAUACCUUCCAAAAUUUAUUUAAAAUUCACAUAUAUAUAUAUAUAUAUAUAUAUAUAUAUAUAUAUGAAUUUUAAAUAUCAAUAAAAUUGUUGAUUCAUAAUAAUUUCACUUAGAAUUCAUAAAAAAAAUAUGAGGAAAAAAAAUUAAAAUAAAAAAUUUUAAGAUCCCUACCCUUCCCAUUUAAUUUUAACAAUUUUUUUUUCUGAGCAUUGAUUUGUUGAUCGGUUAUUAAGGGCCACUCAUUUGCUUUGUUGGAUCUAACUCUCUGUAUGCAUGCUCUGUUUUGGCUUUGUUUUUUUUUUUUUUUUUUUAUCUUUGCUUUCUCUUGUAAAUAUCUGAUGCAUUGUUCCUUCUCUGAACUUGAGAUAUAAAAAUCAUGCUCUUGUUCCUUGUGGAUUCCACCUUCUCCUAGCUCUUUGACAAUCCAUGAAAUAGAGCUAAGUUCAUACUUUAUUUUUAUGUUUUUAUUCUUUUUUGUUUGUUGUUGAUGGUGGGAUGAUAUUAUCAAUGGCCAAGUUGCUAGGAUUAGAGGAGUGAGGUUAUGGGGAAGUGAACUUAAUGGAGGAUUUCCGUGAUCAUAUCCAUGCUCCAAUAUAUUGGUUCCCAAUGUUGGCCACGGGACUGUAUUGAAGUUUUGGUAUUUGGGAUCACUUUGCCUUCUGGGUUCAGUAAGCAACACAGUGGCAAUAAAGAUGCUUUGGUGUUAUUAAUUUGGGUGAAUAAGUUGGUUGUAUGAAUUGUGAAAGUUCAGGUUGUGCUUUGAGGAGAGUAUAUCUUGCAUCCUACUAUUUUAAUUAUUAAUUUUGGAUGUUGAAAUAUGAUGUGAUUGCACUUCAUAUGCAUCAUAGUUGUGUGAAGAAAAAGAAAGAUUAAAGAACUGGUUGUGUGAAAUGGAAAUAAGAAUGGAAAAACCUUGGAGAUGGCAAAAAUGAAAAGAAAAGAAAAAAAAAAAAAAUGCAAUGACCCUAGAGAGAGCGAAUUAAGAAGGGAGUGAAAUCCCUAGGGUGAAAGACCCAAAAGUUUACUUCGGGAAGACUUCGAAUGAGGAGUAUAUUUAGGUACAGACGUGUAUCCUUUGGUGAAAGCCCGAGAAUGACAGUGCAUUGUGUGAUUGUGAGAUUGUGUGUAAGCAUUUGCAUCAUAAUUGCAUUUGGAAGAAGGAUUUGUAUUAUUUAUCAAGUGUAUAUUUGAAUAUAUUAUUCAAAACUAAAAUGACUUGUUUAUUUUGUAAAUUUAGAAUUGUUAAUAUACUAAACAUGAUUGAAUAAGGAAAAUGAUAAUUUUGAUUGUUUUAAAUUUGUAUGGUUAGGGUUUCUUUCAGUGUAUAUAUUGUAAAUGUAAUAUUAUAUCUUGGCAUAUGGUUGUGUUAUUGACCUAGAAUUUCUAACCUAUUUGGGUGUAAAACAUCCUACUGAGCAACGUGGAAAUGCUCACCCUUUUAUUUUUUAAAAUUUUUAGAUGUAAAUAUAGUUUUAGAGGGACCACAAAAAGUUCAAGAAGCGUUUUAGAAAGCAAAAGAACCAUAAUAAGAGUUGUUUUUAAAUUUAUAUUUCUCUUCUUAUACGUACCAAUUUGAGUUAUAUGGGCUUUUGUAUGUUAAAUUAUAUUUGUUAGGUUGUAAAAUAUUUUUGGAAAUAUCCUUUUUGAUUUAGAGAUUAUUGUAAAUAUUUGUGUUUUUGGGCAGGAAGAUGACUAAUGGAUUUAUUAUACUUGUGAAUAAGAGAUAAUGUGAUGGUUGGUUUUAAAAAAAUAAAAUAAUAUGUUAUAAUAAAUCUUAGUUUAAUAAGUUUAUUUAAGAUUACACGUUUUACUAUAAAAAAAAUAAAAAAUUUCAAAGUGUUUUGAUUGAUUGACAACGUAGAUAAGAAUUACCCGGAUCAAACUCUUGACCUGGGCCAACUAUGUUGGUGAAUACCCAAUUAUACCCACAUGAAUCAGCCGUCAAUCUUACAAAUCCAAGGGCAAAGUAGUCAUUCCAAUUCAAACCAAAAAAAGCCAUGAUUCAUGAAAACUGCUGGCCACAGCUCCUGGUUUUUGCCAAACUUUGGGCACCAAAUCCAAACCCAUCUCUUUGCUAUAUAACCAACCCACCUUCACUUCUUCAUCACAACACAACUACCUUGAUUUACAGAGAGAUCUUCUAUAUCCAUUCACUACUCAGAAUCACCUCUUUUUUUUGUUGAUUGUUGUUUGGGUUUUGGAGAAAGAAAAUUAAGAAGAUGAGUCAUAUGGGGAAAGCUUGGAUAGUGGCAGCAAGUGUGGGAGCAGUGGAGGCACUCAAGGAUCAGGGCUUCUGCAGAUGGAACUACACUCUGAGGUCUAUUCACCAGCAUGCCAAGACCAACCUCAGGUCCUUUACUCAGGCCAAGAAGCUCUCUUCUUCCUCUUCUGCCAUGGUUUCCAGUAGAGUGAGAGACGAGAAGGCCAAGCAGUCAGAGGAGUCUCUGAGGACUGUCAUGUACUUGAGCUGCUGGGGACCCAACUGAAGAAGAAGAUAUGAAGAUGGAUGAUCAUCAGCCUGCUCUUGAAGCAACCAGGGAGGGCAUAUUCCAAGAAACUUAUGGAAAAUUGAGAUGAAGAAACUGCAGUGAAGCAAUUUUCUUGGAAUUUUUGCUUGGAGACUCACGAAUUACAACCAAUUGCUCAGGGUUGGGAAAAUUGGAAUUGCUGUGAAUUGUGACUGGGUCUUUGUAAAACCCACAUCAUUUAGCUAGAAAAGCUUUGAAAAUACAUUUUUAUUUAAUUUAUAAUUUCUAUGUUAGAAUAUUAGACCUGAUUCCUAAAAAGCUUAUCAGCCUUGUAUUAGACCCAAGCUCAAGCGCAUUAAGAAAAAAUAUGGCAGAUUUUGUCAUAUAGGGGAUAAAGAGGUGAUAAAGUAGAUACAACUCCCAAAAUUAAACUCUCAAUUAAUUUAAUUGAACAAAUAAUCAUAAAAGAGAUUUUUUAAAUUUAUGAUUUUAUUUUUUAAUUUAUACUAUUUGAAAAAGAAAAUUUCAGUGAAAUAUGUUCGUGUAGACUGUGUGGUAGGGUGCAGACUAAACAAAGAAAUGGACACGUGCUUGAAAUCCGGCCCUACACAUUGGCCCUUUGGAAAACAGCGGUUUCAUCCUCCGUACUUUUUGGGCGUUAAGUGGGUUCACAAACCAAACAAUGGGCUGCUAACACUUACACU
rnacentral:lncRNA from 1 species